UCAUUUCUUUAUUUAUAACAGUGAAAGUUUUCACCAGCAUCUCAACAGAAAUCUUUGAAGUUGUCACAAGCGAAGUCAUUGAAGCGGAUAGCAGCGAGCAAUAUAAACACACAUCAAUCAAACAUCGACGGCAGAAGAAAAAUAAGUGAUAAAAAAUGCAACAUUUUCAUGAGGAUGAAGGUAGGUGCUAAUUUUGGUGAGUUGUUUAUGCCAAAAAACAAAACACUUUACUGGCUCAGAGUCGCAGUAGCUCCACCCAGCACUACAAACCCUUGUCAAGUUACGUAAUGAUGGUAAAUAUACCUAGCUAUUUACAUAUACAUAGAGCUCAGUACAGUGUUAGAAUCCUAAAUUUGGGAAUCCUAAUCUACAUUGAUGAGAAUACAUGCACAAUGCAUUAAACAAUGCCAGCACAUAAACCAGUAGCUGUUUAGCUGUUGAACUGCUUAAUCCAGAAGCCUGGUAUAAACUUUCUCAGGCCUGCUAUAAACUUCAAGUUGUGGUCCCUUGGGCGAAAUAUAGAAGAACAUUGAUAAGUUACGAAGUCAUCACCAUUUUUUCCAUCAUAUAAAGAAAAGAAGAGAACUUUUUAUUGAAAAGAGAACAGACACCAUCAUUGUGAGUUUUAAUCUGCAUAAAAAAUCUCCUAGAUUGCAGCAGCAUACUUGAAGUUAAACAUCAUUAGGUUCCUUAGAGGUGCUACAAGCAUGAACAACACCAUGUUUAACCUAAAGACAACCAAUGUCUAGAACAACUAAAAAAAAGAGACAAGUUUUUCAUUUAAAUUGAAGUCAAAUGAUAGGCCUUCGCUCUACUCCAACAUGGGGUAUCUAUCAAAAACUAAAAGGAGCACAGUUUCGAUUCCCUAGAAACAAAUUCCAGGAAAUAUUCUUCACCAAACCAAACAUAUAAUUUAUCACAGCACUUGAAAUCCCAAAGUCAGAUCUUUGCAGGUUCACUUAGCUAUUAGAGAGGAUGGUUUAAUAAACAAUGUCAGCCUCGAAAGAAGAAAUCACAAAGAACCCACAUCUCAAAUGUCAUAGAUAAGCAUCUUAAGCCAGUUGUUGAAUCAUUGAAGGUUGAUAAUAUCACAAAUCACCGUGAAACAAGAGAAUUACAAAGAAACAAGUAAAAAUCCUCAUCUCCUUCCCCGCAUGCCAAUUUAAUCAAAUGUUCUCGAGAGAGAAAAACAACUUGCGAUAAAAGAUACCAUAUGUAAUUCUCAUACAGAUGAACAAAACAACGUUGGAGUAUUAUUAUACUACAUAAGGUCAUAUGUAUACCACGGCACGAGAAAGCUUAAUUAUAUCUCCAGAUGACCUAACACUAGGCAGAUUUCCCACACUUUCCAAGAAAAUAUUCAGCCGAAUUCCAGGUUUCGGAUACGAUUCAUCAACUAUUUUCACUGUGCAAAAAUAACGUGCAAAAAAUUCCUAAAAAUAUAAAAAUUUGUAAAAAUUAAAUACACACGCGUAUGCAUAUAUAAGAGAGUGGCUCAGAACAGACACCUUUAUAUGAGAAGUUCAUCAAUCUACUACCGACCACGAAAAAUUAAUUAGUUUUCUGGUAGCAGCCGUAAGUCCGGCCUUUUUUAUCAUCAUCGCCACUCAAAAAUCAGUAUUUUUUUAAAUCGAUAAAAAAUAAAAGCUGAAACAGGAGAGUUUAAAAAAAAAAUACCGUACCCGAACUCGAGAACGACGCCGAUUAGAUUUCCUUUUGCUAGUUAACAGCAGAAACGGCCUCCUUUAUUUACAGAAACUUGUAGUCGUCUCCCUCUUCCAUCUCUCUCUCUCACUUGUGACUAUCAUCUUGAGCUCCCUCGACUUAUUUAGGGUUUUUGUGAUGGGAAGGAGGCGCACACUGUUUUUUCAUUUGAAGCACGUUCUUACCUUUUUGCCCUUUCUUUGUUCUAAAAUAAAAGGUCGAUUUUCGAAUAAAGUUUUUUUCUCUGUUUUUUUUUUAAAAAAAAAUUGGAUAAAGUUUGUAAAUAUUGUUGCUUAUAUAUUUUAAGAAUUCUUUUUUUUUUUACGGAAAAAAAGGAUAGUUUUACCGGAAACACUAGCAAGCAUUACUCAAAUUACAAUAUAUUAAGAUAUUGUUUACAAAAGAUUAUGCAAAUCUCGUUAUUUUAAAUUUUAAUUUUUUUAUUAAAAAUUAUUUUUUAUAUGUUUUUAAAUUAUUUUGAUGUGCUAAUAUCAAAAAUAUUUUUUUUUAAAAUAAAAAAAAUAUUAUUUUGAUACAUUUCUAAACUAAAAAUACUUUAAAUCACAACUAUUAUCAUAAUCUCAAACACAUCCUAAGUUUUUAUCCAGUAAUCUACCUUAUUCCUAGUUUUAUGAACAUCUCAAAAGACAUAUAUAGCAAUCUACAAAUAAAUUUAAUUUUUUUGUUAUUAUUAUUAACAAUACACUAAAAAGAAAAAGUAAUACACUAAAACAUAUGAAGAGAAAAUUACUCUAGUAAUGAAUAAUAUUUUCCAUCAUGUUUUGGUGGGCUCUAAAAAACGUAUUUACCUUUUUUAUGAUUUUUUAAUUCAUGUUUUUUUUUAAUUUUAUCAUUUGAUAUUAUAUUUGUUUUUUUAUUAUGUUAUCUAACUUUCGUGAUAUGGAACAUGAGUUUGACAGGUUAACCUGGUUGGUUAGGGUUUUUUUCUUAAUUUCUUUUUCAAUUUCAUCCUUUAAUAUUGAGUUAACUAAAAAUUAGACUUCAUGAUUUGUUUUAUUUGCUUUAUAUUAGGUUAAUUCGGUCUCAUGACCCAAGAAUAGUGUUUAACAGGUUAACCCGAGUUGACUUGAGUUGUUUUUUGUGUUUUUGUAUUUGAGAUUUUUCCCAAUUUUAUCAUUCAAUAUUGGAUUGGUUGGGGAUUGAACUUCAUAAUCUGUUUGGAUUUGUUUUCUAUAAGGAUAUAUUGGUCUCAUGAUCAAGGUUACAGGUUUUGGUAUUUUGGUUAAAUCAAGUCAUUUUUUUUUCUUUCUAAAAGGUUAUCUCAGUCUUAUAUUCUUCAACAUUAGAUUUAUUUUUUAUUAAGCUGCCCUCGUCUUAUGAUCAGAGUUGCAGGUUUGACAGAUUAAUCCAGUUGACUCGAUUUUUGUAAUUGAUUUUCCCCCCUAAUUUCAUCAUUUAAUAUCGUGUUUUAUUGAGAAUUAGGCUUCAUGAUUUAUUUUGUUUUGAUUUUUUAUAAGGUUAUCUUAAUCUUAUGACUUGAGAAUAGUGCUUAACAAGUUAAUCUAUAUUGACUUUGCUCAUUUUUUGUAUCAUUUUUUUAUUCAAUUUUUUAUAAAUUUCAUUGUUCAACAUUGGGGCCGACAUGAUCAAUAAAGAAUUAAGUUUCAUAAUUUAUUUUUAUUUACUCUUUAUGAGGUUAUCUCAGUCCCAUGAUCAAUAUCGUGGAUUUAACAAGUUAAUUCGGGUUAAAUCAAAUAGUUUUUUCUUUCUUUCUUUCUAUGAGGUUACUCGGUCUUAUGACUCGGAUCAUGGGUUUGGUGGAAUGACUUGUGUUAUUUUUUAUGUUAUUUUUUUAAUUGAUUUCUUUUUUUAGUUUUAUCAUUCAACAUUGGACUGAUUGAGAAUUAAACUUUAUAAUUUGUUCUGAUUUUCUUUCUAUGAGGCUAUCUCGAUCUUAUAACCCGAGUCGCGAGUUUCACAGGUUAACCCGGGUUGCUUUUUUUUAUCUUUCCUUAAUUGUUUUUUUCUUUCAAUUUCAUCAUUCAACAUUGAGUUGAUUGAAAAUUAGGCUUUAUAAUUUAUUUUGAUUUGUUUUCUAUAAGGUUAUCAUAGUCUCAUAACCUGGAUCACGGAUUUGACAUGUUAACCCGAGUUGACCCAAGCCAAUCCAAUAUGUUGUUAUCUUAAUGUAAAACAAGAUAUCAUUUUGAAAAAAAUCUUGAGUUAAAUUAUGUUUUUACGAGUUGUCCAGGUUGUUUUUUAGACCUGUAAAGUCAACCGGAUCACAUCGAAUCAACCUUCAUAUAAUUUAAUUCUUUUUAUUAAAAACUUAUUAGUGAUAUUUAAAUAAUUGUUUAUAUUUUAAAAAAAUCUGACUCGCACCGCGGGUCAAAGUUCCAGUAAAAAAACUAAAAGAGAUAGUAAAAAUAUUGUGAACCAUGUCUAUUUUUAUUAUGGAUUCAUACAGUAAUUCAAGUUUAAUUUCUCAUCUUUCUUUUUGUGAGAAGACAAAAUUUAUUUUACUCUUUUUUUUAUUUGUCUUCGUGUCCUCUCCUCAACCACAUUUCUUCUUACUCUUUUUUUUUGAACUUUUUUGCACCUAAGAUUAUGUUUUUUCAAUUCAUCUCCUUUUUAUGAACUAGAUCAAUAAAUGAGAGAAAAGAUGUAAAGGAGGUGAGUUUUCAUAGAUUUAACAAUGAUUAAAGCAAUAUUUGAUUUGUAGGUUUCAUAAAAAUCAACUCAAGAAAUCCAUAUAACCUGGUAAGAAUUUAACUUUCAAAAGUCACAAGUCUGAUUUAAGGAAAGAGAUCCAUUGGGAGGAGUUGUUGUUGCUACUUGGGUCACCAACACACAAAUCCACCAUGUUUGUAACACCCUGUAAUCUAAUACAUUCGUAAAUGAACUUUGAGCCUUAACUUAAGAAAAAUAAUUUUUUUUUUGCCGAACUUAUCUAGGACUUGCCAAACAUUUUACCGAAUUUUUGGUAGAGUUUUCCCUAUACCGAGAAAUCCCAAGUUAUCGACAAUCAUCUUGUACACACCUUAUACUCAUUUCUCAAUUAUGUCAUAAUCAUGUUGAAUCUCAACAACACAUCAUUCAUGGUACAUGCAUAACGUUUCACAUAUUCAUUUCUUUCCCAUUAACACACAUAAUUCAUAAUAAAUGGAAGUAAACAAACAUUAAGAUUACACAUACAAAAUAAUACAAUUUAUGUCCUACAAUUAGGCCUCAUUUGUUCGCUGGAAAGUAGUUUUUUUUUUAAAGUGAUUUUCUUGUAAAGUGAAUUUCUGAAAAGUGAAUUAUUUUCCGAUGUUUGGUAGAAUCAUGAAAAAUAAGUUGGAAAACACUUUAUAGUGUUUGAUUAUGUUAUAGAAAAUGAGCUGGAAAAUAGCUUAUUAAUGUUUUUUUUUUUUUCAAGUUUAUUAAAAUAAUAAGGAACAAAUCUUACAAAUUAAAAAGUUGAAUGAUAAUGAAAUUGAAAAACAUUUAAUUUCAUAAAUUAUCUUAAAUAAAAUAAAUAAUAAUCAAAAUAAUAGAGAUCAAAUCUAACAAAUAAAAAAAAUUAAAAGAUGAUGAAAUUAAAAUAAUAAUAAUUACAAUUUCAUAAAUUAUUUCAAAUAAAAUAAGUAACAAUCAAAAGAAUGAGGAUCAAAUUUGAUAGAAAAAAUAUUUCAAUUAAAAAAAUGAUAAGAGAAAAGCAAAUAACAAUCAUAAAAAUAAGAACCAAAGUUAAUAUAAAAAUAAAAUUAAAUUAAAUUUUAAGGGAUGAAAUUAAAAAAAAAAGAUUCAAACAAAAUAUAUAUCAAUUUAAAAGUUUGAGGACCAAAUUUGAUAUAAUCAGCAAAUAAUAUGAUAUUUCUAAAUUUUUCACAACCUCUAGAAAGUGUUUUCAAUCCAAAAUAAAAAGGAAAACACUAUUUUGGAAAUCAAGCAAAAUUUUUCUUUGACUGGAAAGUGUUUUUCAUUGACCAACUUUUCUAAUAGUAAACAAACACAUGAAAGUUUGGAAAGUGAUUUUCAGGAAACCACUUUUCGAGCAAACAAACGCCCCCUUACUGUAAAAGAAGUACUAUUACAUAUUAAGUCAUUUAGUUCUUUAAAGACAAUAUAUUAAUGUUCAUUUUCUUCUCUAAUCAUACAAAAUGAGACUAAAAGAUCUAAAACACUACUCCUAGUGUGAAUGUGAAGGACAUUCAAUAUCAUAAUGUAUAGAAUAAAUAUAGUAAGAAUAAAUUAUAGCAUGGAAGGAAAAUCACACAAUACAUGCACAUGUAAUUAAAUAUAUAUUCAACGAUAUGCAAUCAUAGUUAUUUGAAAUUCUUAUUUAACUUUCUAUUAUUACGUCUCUAUUCAUCAUUCCUGGAAUCGUUCAACAUUUUCAUUUUGUGUCUUGUUUCAUCUCACAAGUGCAUUUAAUUCGUUAUAACAUCUACCAUAUGAUUUCUCUCUCUAUCUUUAUAUCAAUGCUAAUCCUAAAAUCUAUUAUACCCAUUAUGACUCUUUCAUAUAAAUCAUCAAACUCAUUAUGUUUUUGGCUCAAUUUUUGUUUAUAAGUAUAUUCAACUUAUACAUUUCUUGUGUCUAUUUUAAUACAUUCCAAUGUUUCUUUAGAUUUUCAGUAAAAUCUCCCUUUGUCAUGGAACCUACCAUCAUUUUCACAAUAUUCAUAUCAAAUCCAUCUUCAAAUAAUAUGAAUAUCAUACAUACAUCAAUUAAUCAAUCUAUUUAAUUCAUCAAUCUAAUCUCAUUUGGCCACUAGAAUUAAGGCCAAAUUUCAUUAUCCAUCACUCAUAUGGAUGACUAAUUAUACAAUUCUUCAUUUACUUUCUCAUAUCAUUCUAAAUAGUAACCAACUUACUUGUUGUUGAAUACCGCAUAUCUAGCGUAUGAAAAUUUUAACCCUGGUAAUUCAUUUUCUUUAAAUUCUAAAUAUUAUAACAAAUUAUUUAUGUGCGUCUUCAAUGUUUGAACCAAGCCCUCUAUGAUCUUAUACCUCAAUUGGUAGUCAUUGUCAUACGUCGUUUCAUCACUGUUAUUAGCAUUUUAUUACACUAUUAUAAUUACUAUCAAAUUCUUAUCAUGUCAACAACAACACAAAACCUUAAUACAAUAUAUUUACGUUGCGAGUCAUAAUUUUUUUGACAUCCUCCAUGUGCACAAUACACGAUUCUCAAAUUGUAUCAAUUACAAUUCAUCAAAUAAUUCAAAAUAAUAUAUACCUCAAUUGUACAACACCUACCAUGGUCAAUAAACUUCUAUUCUUACGUUCCAAGCGAUACGAUCUUUGCCUACAUCCUUCACAAGGAUUAGAUCUUCAUCAAUUUAAUUUUUUUUAUUUCUUCAAUAAUCCACAACAUAAACACAAUUUACCACUUCUGUUUAACAGUUAGGUUUCAUUCAACAUUCUAUUUAUAAUCUGACAAAGUAGUUAUCCUGAUAAUAUUAACACCACACAAGUCCAGUCAUUAGAAAAACUAAUGUCACCAGCCCAUUACCGGGUAACUAGUUCCUCUGCCUAUUUUAUUCCACAAUUUCCAAUCAAUAUCCGCCUUUUUAAGGCUGAAUGAAUAAUCAUUUCAAGAUGUCAAUCCCCAUUUCAUUAACACUUUUAAUCAUUCCUUAUCGUGAAUACCGUUAUAACACCUCUCCCCUAAAACUUGGAAGGGAAUGCCGACACUAAUGAAUUUUCAUUAGUGUCGUCGCCAAUAUCAAGACCGACUAAUCAAGUUUGUUUUAAAUGCCAACAUCAAUGCCACUGAUUGAUGUCAUUGACUAUUUCCAACCCGAAAUAGCCAAUCAAAUUUUUCUUUCUAUAAUACCUUGGAAUAUUUCCAGAAAUGCCGAUGUCAAGAUUCUUGACAUCAUUAGCUUAUAUUUCAGAAAUAGCUAAUCAAGUUUUAUGGGAUUGUUGAUAUCGACGUUACUAGUCGAUGUCAUUAACUAUUCUCACCCGAAUAGUUAAUCAAGUUCAAUAUCUCUUAUUUUCAAGGAUGAUCAUGCCAAUGUUAAUAAACCUUACUAACAUCAUUAGUCUCCGUAUUCGGGACCAGUUAAUCAAGUUUGAGGAACGAUCAUCAACGAAGUCCAUUAAUGUAAUUCAUAUUAUUAAAUCAAUCAAGUACCCAAAUCCAUUUUAAUUUCUUGUUUAUUUCACUUUAUCCUUUCUCUUUGUGGUUUCACCCAUAAAAGCAAAGACCGAGAAUUUAACAAGUUAGUAAAAUUAACGUUACGUAAAAAGUGUAAGUAUAAAACACCUACCUGCUGCAGAAGCUCGGCUCGUGCUUCCUCGUUGUUGUUGUGCCCCUCCUGUGGUCCCUCCUACCAUACAAGCUCCUGAGAAGUUGGACCCCCCUUCGAAAGCUUUUCCUACAUUUCAAUAUAACAUCCUGAAUCAAUAUUCAAAUCUUCCCAAUUUAUUUAUAAAUUCACAAAAUCAAAUACUUCCGUAAAUAAAUUCACAAAAUUGAAUACUUUCAUAAACAAUUUCUAUGGAUGUAUUUUAUUUUAAUGCUUCUCAUUUAAAUUCAUUUACAUUAGAAUUUAUUUACCCGAAUAUUAAAUGUUCAAUUAACUCAAUUCUUUAUUAAUGAUUUUCAAUGUCCAAAAAACAUGACUUUUCGUUACCGAUUUUUUUCUAGUGUCUAGAGACAUGAAUUCUCAUAAGUGAUUUUCUAAUUUUCCAAGACAUUUAAUCUAUCGCCAAACAAUGUAAUUUAGCUUAGAUUUCAACAAUGACUACACAUGUCAAAUUUUUCCAAAGCACACUCCAAAUGAUUUCUUAUAUCAUAAUUCAAUUUACAACAUCCCUUACCAUGAUUUCCCAUUCAUUUCUUCAUCAAAACACGUAAUUUACCAAACAUUUCAGCACCAAUUUAACUAACAUGGCCAGUCACAAUAGGGGUUAAUUUUCCAAAGUUAGUUUCAAUUUAUCCCAAACUAUUUUCCCAUAUCAUGUUUCUUAUACCAACACAACCAAAGUAUAAAUCAAUCAUUAUUUUUUUAUAUAUAGAAUUUAACUAUACACAUCACUUAUCAACACAUCAAACAUGACUCAAACACAACACAAACAAUUCUCAAACACUUCCAUCAUCAUUAAACCCAUUACAAUUAUCGUUAGGCCCAAAACAUAAUUUUUAUGCUAAACAUCAUAUUCUCAUUCAAUAUUUCUCAAACCAAACUUAAAAUACUAUUCUUUCAACUCAAAAUUCAAUAAAUCCAAACGGCGACAUUAUACAUCAUCAUAAUUAGAAUAACAUAUCCAAAAUUAACAUACAUCUAACGGUUAAAUCUCCCUAUAUCAGAACAAUACCAAAUUGACCUGAAAAUUAGAGACCUACUGAUCAGGAAGUAUAAUUUCUGGUGAGAGUGUUUGCUUUUGAUCUCAACCGUUUAGAAUUUAUAGAACAUUUGGAUGAACAAUAUAUGCAAGAUCCAAACCAAUGCAAUGGUGGAAAGAUGAGUAAUAGCCAACGAACGAGACUGUCUUGAAGGUGAUUUUCUAGGAAUGUUUCUCAGGUGACAGAUCUCAAACGAAGUCUGUUAGACAAUCCCUCCAGUAAAAAUAUAGGUAACAUUGACCAUAAUAACAUAUCCAACGUUGGAAAGCCAAGAUAUGGUUGCUGAAGUUUCUGCCUUGUUGCCAUCCCAAAACCCAUAGUUACAAAUCAAUUUAUUCCUUCUAUUUUAUGCUAAUCAAGUCAUUAUCAUGCAAUUAACUUUAAAAUCCACAAGAACAAUUAUUCUCCUAAAAUAUUUACAUGAACCCUAGAAUUUUAAGCUUUGAGGUUUUCUUCUCCUCAUGUAAGAACAAGAGAGAAAAACGAAAUUACUUUAGGGUAUGUUCUUUACCUUUACUACUUUAACUUAUUUCAGUGAAUUCUUGCAAAACUCUACAAAACAUCAUGUCCUUCUCUUCCAAUUUCCAGCUUCUUCUCUUUGUUUUUCUCAAGCUUUAUAACUCUCUAAGUUUAGUCACUUAAUUUUUUUUCUUGGAUAUAAUCCUCCCAAGAACACUCCAUUUUGAUUUAACUUGAAGAAAUGGAGAGAAGAUGAAGAAAAUGGGAGAACAAAUGGUCUCCCUCUUGUUUUCCUUUUGCAUAGGAUAUGGGCUGUCUUUAAAGGAGGAGAGAAGAAUAUUUGUUUUGAUAAAAUUACCAAAAUACCCUUAUUAAUGGCUCGUGUGUCAUCUUCUUUAAUUUACUUGAUUUUCAGUACUCUCGUAAGGCCUUUCCAAACUUUGAUUGACAUGAAAUUUUAACCUAAGAUAAAGCAAUAAGUCUGGAGAUUCCUUAUAAAAGUUCAGUCUGAUCCAACGAUCGGAUUGAGAUAUAUCAUCAAUACCGUAAGACUAGACAAUCAGUGUUUCUUACGCCAAAAUUUGAAUUUCAUGCAUUAAUUUAUUUACUUAGAUCAUCAUUAAAUUUCACCUUAAUUUAUACUCAAUAAAUGCAAUAUUAACCAUUUAUCACUAAUUUAUCAAAAUAAGUUUUUUGAUCGGGUUUACAUAUCUUCUCAUUUUUCUUAUUCUUGUAUCCAUUGAAACUUAUCACUGGUUUUGACAAUGUUACGAGUUUUAAACUAAAAAUCAUAACCCUCAUUUAGUCUUCAACAAUACCUUUAAAUUUAUUUAUGGAGACCAUUCUCUUUCUUACAUGACACAUUUAUUAUCAUUCCCACUAUUUAUUCAUUUCUUUCAUACCAAAUCUUCAUUACUCAUCGAGACCUCAUUACUUUGAUCCUAUGUUUUUUUUACAGGGGUUUACAAUGUUCUUGACGAUGGAGCUAGCGGCGUCAAUUCCAUCACAAAGACUGCAACAACCCACCAUCAGUGGGCUAGACCAGUCCCUGUAACUUCUAAUAGAUCGACCAACAUCCAAUGGUGAUUUUGGGUAAGUUAAUUUGAUUUUUUUCAUUUAAGAAAAGCUUGACUCUUUUUUUGUUGUCAGUCCAACCUGUAGCCAAGUUAGAGAUGACAUGGAUACGGGAGUAAAAACAUCACUAUUCUCAUCAAUAAGACUAUUUAAAGACAUCCGCGUAAAAACCACUCCUUCAUUGUUAACCUUCUUAAAAAAUUGAAACAUGAAUAACAAACUCUUUUCUUUAUCUAUCUGAACCAUGUAAAAUACCCAUAUCUCUUGAGCACCAAUAUAUAUUUCUCUUUAAUGCUAAGGGUGUACAUGUUGCAUCAUUUUUUUUCACACACUACACUUUUAUCAUAUUGCUAAGACAUGUCUCUAACUAUAUAAAACAUAUAUCAAUAGACACUAUAUCACACCAAAUAUUAUUAAAACACUUUGUGCAAAUGAAAAAUGAAAACAAACAUGAUUGUCUAUUUUAAGUUAAAACUUCUACAUUGCCUAGGUUGAUAUUGCAUUCUCACAACUCUCACCAUCAAUGAUUAGGUUGCACAACUUUUUUUUAAUCGUACAAAUUGUAUGAAAGAUGUUAGUAUAUAACCAAUCUUCACCUAAAUCAUCAUUGGAAGUUAGCGAACUCUUUUGGAUGAUUGAGGUAGCAUUAUCAUCUCUAUAUAGAAUCUCAUUGCCACCUUUAUCAUUAUAAACAGGCUAUCUAAUGGCUUCACUCUUUUCUUCGAACUCAUCAUUAUUAAAAGACUCUUACUCGUGUGAAUCUUUGGCUUAUGACACCCAUUAGCACAAUAACAUCGCUCACCACAUCUAUAACACCAAAUUAUGACAUAUGGUUUGCUCAAGAAUAGAUUUAGGUUGACUGAUUGUUUGCUAGUAAUUGGUGCGCACACCUCUAGUACUCUGGUAUACUUGAGUGUCUUUAUUGGCUUCCUUAACUAUUUCUCCACUAUUAAAGCCCUAUGAUAAGCUUCCGAAAUUGUCCACAACAAUUGCAAACAAAGCACAUCUUAUAUGGACUGUCAUAACCUAUUUAAGUAUCACGUCACCAAGUAAUAUUUUAUUUGUAACAGGUCGUUUCUGAUCAGUAGUUGACAUAUACUCAAAAAGAAAAAAGUGACCAUUCAUAUUUUUCUUCAUCAUUUCCUAGUCAUAAAUCAUGGGUUUAUCCUUCACUCACGAGUUCUCUUUAAUUGUUCCGACCAUGUAAAAGCUUACCUCUUAAAUCUGAUAGUGAUUGACUUCACUUUUAUUUGUUUUAGAACCUUUUUAUAUUAAAAAAUCAUCUCCAUUUCAUGUAACCAAUAAUUGAAUUCCCCAGCCUGUAAGGUGUUUGCAAACUCAUGAAGUGUCAUCAAAACACAAGUUUUUAUGGUACUCAUCUCAAUCAUAAGGCUAUGUCCUUUACUCACACCUAUUAAACAAGUUCUCAACACUAGUCAUAAAUUCGUGAUCAUUCGUCUUUUGAUCCUUAAAAUCUUUCUCCUUCAAAUGACAAGUUAAUUCUAUAACUUGCCUUUAUAAGUUCUCGAUCACUAGUUUGUGAACGUUUUGUUUCUAAAAUGAAACCUUCUUUAUCAAAAACCAUUCCCUUUCCACACUACUACAUCAUGCUCUGUGUCCUCUUCUAGUUAUGACUAUUCCAACAAUGUAAUAACAAAAACAACUAAGAACACUAGGCUUUGAUGCUAUUUAACGCAACCGAAUCUAAGUAUAUUAAGAAUAAAAGGAACAAUAAGACAAAAUUCACGAAAAAGGUUGAAAAGGAACCAUAAAUGUACUAUUUAUUUUAAUUAAAAAUUAUCAUGUCAAUCCCUAACUUGAAAAGAAAUAAAGAUUAUAAUAGUUUAAAUAGACCUAUAUCCGACCUUAACCGGAAAGGAAAAAUAAUCCUAAUCAAACAUGAAAAAAUAAAGGCUGAAAGUAUGAAAUUAAGAAGAAAAAAACCAAAAUUGAGAGAAAAAAAGUUUUCGAUCUAAUUUGAAAGCCUUCUUGACCUCGAUUGGCUCGCAAAAUCUUCUAAAAAACUUUCAGCACAAUACAAUGGUCAGAUCAAAAGUUAUGUUUGUUUCUGUUAGACAGGUCGUUUGGCACAAUCAAACCUUUUCUUGAGCUUGUAGAAGUCCAUCUGGUUCAUAAAUAUAUAUAUGUCAGGCUUUCUUUCCACGUGAUGUGAAUGCAACAUAUCCAUAUUUUACUAUUCAGAUCCUCCUGCAUCAUGCAUCCUCUAUCUACUAAUAACUUAACAAGGGCUUUUCCAUAUCUGUUCUUCAUAUUCGGUUGUUGCUUCCUUGGGGCGCCUUACAUUUACACUUGAUGCAGUCUUUAUUCCUACUGAAAUUCAAAAAGUCACACCUACAUAAACGGAAAGCAAAAGAGUUAAACAUAUCUUUUCAUGAAAGACACUCAAUGAUGAGAGUGAGGAAGACUCACGAUGGGCAGUUCCACUCUCCGGCCAUUCUUUUGGGGCUCACACAAUUGCACUUUAGGCAGACUUUAUUCUUACUGAAAUUCAGGAAGUCACACCUGCAGAAACAGAAAGCAAAGAGUAAGAUGGAUCUUAUCCUGAAAGACAAAUCAAUCAGGAGCGAGGGAGACUCACGAUGGGCAGUUCCACUCUCCAGCCUUUCUUUCAGGGCGUGGAUCUCGACAACGUAAGCAUGUCUUAUUGCUAGCAAAAUUCAUGAACCCACAGCUGCAAACAGAAAACCAAGUGACAUGGACAGAAGUAUUUCAAAAGCAGACAAUAAGAUGAAAAAAAAAAAAAAAAACAAUAUCGAAUUAAACUUCCAUAAAAAGUUGAUAGCUUUCAAGAUAGACAAAUAAAGAUGAUAUGAAAGCUGGAACACAUCUUUCAUAGGCUUCCUCUUUGUUUCUUUUAUAUUUCCAUGUGUUUUUUACUGACAUAAUACUUACUAAACAAGGGAUUUAAUGGUAGUGGUUCGUAGGGAGAAUAGCAUUUAUUACAUUUUUUUAAUGUACUUGUGCAUUCUUCAUAAGAUAAAUUUCCUUUAAACAUCGUCCCAAAAAAAUCCUAGAUAGAAUUAUUGAUGACAAGAACUAUCAAUGAAAUUAUGUUGGAUGUCAUAAAGCAAGAAGCCUCACAAUACGGUAACAAAAAUGAUUCACUAGGGCAACAAUAUGCCCCCAAUAUAAAAAGGCAGACACGCAUCUUGUGUUUAACAUAAAAGGUACAAAGAACUGCUCUGUCAUAACAUCCACAACCCCCUCUUCAAAAGCACCAAGCUUUCAUGCUUUCAAAAUUUAAUCAAAUAAAAAUCUCAUUAGGGUGAAGAACACAUUAUUUUCUCCUCAAAUGCUCCCACCACAAUGUCAAUUGUAUAUAUCUACAUUGCGCUUGUUACUAGGACAAAAAAAUAAGGUUUACCUGUUGCAAUUCCAAUCUCCCUUCUUCAUUUUCACAUCAUCUACACCGGGCCUCUUUGGGCCCUCUGCUUUGCACUUUAGGCAUUUUAUAUUUCUAGAAAAAUUCACGAAUUCACAGCUGCAACAGAAAUGGAAUGUGCCAGUUAAUGGAUUGAAUGAGACAAAGGAUGUAAUAAGAGAUGCAACAGGUUUAUGACAACAUAGAGAAGAUUAUGUUAGACCACUAUGAAAGUAAUAACAUCGACUCAACUACAGAAACUGGAGUUUGUAGGUUAUUGCUCUACAAUUCAAAAAAGAAAAAGCAUCAAAAGGAUUUCCUUGGGUUUUUGGAACAGAUAUAAAUAGAAAGGCUAGGAAUUUGUUCCUCAAAUAUUGUUUACCAUGGGCCACCCCUGCAGUAUAAUAUAAUUACAAAGAACUCCCUCUAGUUUCUAGAAUCAGACCGGUAGAUUUACAAAUUACUCCAUUUGAUUAACACGAUGGCUCUUAUGUCUUUACAACUCACACAUGGAAUCGCCAUUACAGUUGUUGAACUUAGAGAAGAGGGCCCUGUGAUCUCAUAAUACUGUGAGAUUUACCCUCGUCUGUAUUGAACAACAUUAUAGGUUCCUGAGAAUUGACAAAUCAAAGUUUUUACUAGAAACUAUAAAAAAGAAAAGAACAGUCAGAAAAUGCAUCAAAAGAUCCUAAAAGUCACAAGAACAUUUAUAAGAAAAUCAAAUGCCCCUUGAACUAAAUGCUCUAGACCAAUCUUUCAACAAGUGUGAGAACAGUUUUCUACCCGAAAAAAAUAGCAAAUGGCAUUCUGCCCUAAUAUUUAGGUGAAAACUGGCUUUUAAUAGAGACAAAAAUCAUGCAAAAACUGGAUAAAUAAAUGGUUUCUGAAUCUAGCAAAGGAACUCCAAAGGCAUAAUGAAACUGGACCAACAAAAUACAGCACAAAUAUAACAGCUAAAAUUGUAAAAUCAAUCAUGGUUCGAAGUUCAAACAUUUGUUCUUUUCCCCUAAUACUGUCGAUAGAGUGAAAAACUUAAAAAGGUCAAUCACAGUGUAAAGAAAAUAAGAUGAUAGGGAGCUUACUCAGAGCAUAUCCAAUCUCCUUUCUUAGCUUCAAUAUUGUUAUCACCAUCCUUCUUCGCACUUUGUUCACCACAUUUUUGGCAUCUUUUAUUUUUUGAGAAGUUCAUAAAGUUGCAUCUGCAAGAACAUACCAAGGAUUUCAAUAAACAAAAUGCAAAUUUUUCUAACGGGGUGUCACACUGUAUCUGGUGUCUGCACAAGCAUAUAAACACACAAUUAAAAGCAAGAGAAAAAUGAGGGAUUAAUACAGAGCUGCACUUUCCCAACAGCGACCACCUUCCCAAGAAAAGAAAAAAAAGUAAAAAGAAUAGGAGCAUUGGUGAUGUUCAUCUCAUUUUGACACUUAUAUAAUAAGUUCUGGCUUCAGAUUCAUAUUGAACAUCCACAUGCAUGGGCAUUCCCCUGUGCAAAGACGAAGAAAGCUCUAGCAUGCACGCAUUUGAGCACAAAUGUAACAUUCCUAUAAUCUACAUCAUCAAGGUACUAGAGACAAUGGACCUUCUGUUUCAGGCUUAGUCUUAUUAGAUGACUGAAUUGUUACUGGAGACAGCCGUGGACAUCAUUUAAUUGUAAGUGACUUGGGGUGAUUAGUGGUAAAAUACUGAAAAAGAACUGGCCUCUCAUAGGACACAAUAGAUGCAAGGGAAUGGCACAGAAGAGAUGAAUCUUGUUCCUUCUCAAUACCCCUUAACUAACUCCUUUUGAUCUUUCGACCUCAAGCUCUCAACAACUAAAAAGUUGAAGUCUAAGCCUAAGCAAUAUCCUCGAAUAAUGAAAUGAUUCCAUCAUAUUUUCUCUUUGGGCACAUACCUUCAUGAUGCAGUUGUAAGACGCACAAUAAUGAACAAUAAAUUAGUAUUCCAAGCAAGGAUGCAAUGCUUGAACUGUGGGGCAAUCCAAAAUGGAUGUAAUAUAAUUAUAUUAUCAAGGAAUUGUUAUAAACCAAAAUAACAUGGCGGGGUUGGGGUUCCAUAGAAUAACUGAGAACAAAGGAGCCUUUUCCCAAAUUCCAAAAAGAAGUCCUCCUGAAAUCUUCGGUGGUAUUAAUGAAAAUCCCACAAACAUUAAAAUAAAGAAAUACAAUUCUAACAUGCACGCCAACAAAAACAAUUCCCAAUGAGGCCAUGCAUCUACUUAAGCUAUUAAGGAUCAUAAAGUUGGAUUGGUUAUCCAAUGAUCCGAACUUUGAUCCCUUUUGCAUUAAGAAAAAGUUCCCCUCUGAUCACAUCAUUCAAGAAUAUGCAGAGUUUAUCAAGUUAUAACGGAAAGAAUUGUAGAGAUAUAUUUAAUAAUUUUCUAAUUGUCACUUACUUGGUACACAUCCAAUCUUCUUUCUUCGUUUCGACAUUAUCACACAGUUGGCCAUCCAUAAAAUCAACAUCUCGCUCCUUCUUAUGGGAGGCUUUGGGAAUAUGCUUUGGUAGUGCUGGAUCUUGGGGUGUCUCACUUAAUUCAGUCAACUCAGAAAGCAGCUUCCUUGCAGACGUUUCAAUGAGCUCACUACCAGGAGAUUUCUGUCCUCCUGAAAUAACAAAUGGAUCUAGUGCAUGGAACAUUAAGACCCGCACUAUGUCCACGGUACGACCUUCUGCGUCAUUACCUUUUAGUGUCACAUACGCUCUAUCACAAAAACCCCGAUGAGUACAAGUACCACAAGCCUGCAAGCAAGAGUCUUAACAGUUCAUAAAACACAAUGCCAGAAGGCACUUGAAAAUUUCUAUUGAAAUGCAUCUUUUUAAUCACUAACAAAUCAUGAACGAAAUUAAGAAAGGAAAGAAACAUACAUCCCCUUCAUCCUUUUGCACGUAAGCUCUCAUUCUUUUAGCUGAAUUAACAACUUUUCGAAGCAGAUUAGGACAUCCACUCUCCACAACUGUUUGAAUAUCAGGUCUAGACAAUGAUCUGCAAAAGUGAAAACAAAACAAAUUCAAGACCCAAUAAACAUUUCUUAAUUCUCAAAUAUCUGAAAAUCCAAAUUCUCAAUCUUUUAAGCUUCCCUUCAUUUUUAAACCACUAAUCAAAUUUCAAUCCAACUGAAAGGGAAAUAAAAGUGGCUUACUUGAAAAUAUCAUAUCUGUCACGAGCAAAGCUAAGACAAGCAUUCUUUAAUUGAUUCAUGUCAGUGUAAGCAAUCUCACUAGUAGUAUCGCCAUCCUCUUCUUUUGCAGAAGUUUGCAUAAAGUAACCCCUGGCCUUCAAUUUAUCAACAAAAAUGACCCACUCAGGCCACGGAUGUUGUUUUUGUUUCCUUUCUUGUAGAAGGGAGUUCAAGGUUUCUGUGUUAUCUGUAGUGGCUGUAGCAGCGGUGGCUGCAGUGGAGGAAGAACAGUAGAGGUGGAAUUGAAGGGAAGGGAAGGGUUUAAAGGAGAAAAAUGGAGAGAGAGUUUUGUGGGGAUGGCUAUAAUGAGUUGUACGGGGAAAGAGCGAAGUGCCAAAGAGUAAGAAUCUUGACGCUGAUGACAUUGGUGGAAGGUAGAAAGAUGGAGGCUGGGGGUUUUGCAGGGUUUUAGGCAAAUGGCAGCAAGCAAGCACUGGAGACUUGUGGCACCCACGGCUCGGAUUUUGUACGAAGCCUCUCCCUGUUUUAAUUUUGAUUGUCAUCUCUUUUUUUUUUUUUUUUGAAUUGAAUAUUUACUAGUUCGUAAUCUCUUAAGAAUAUUUUUUUAUAUAAUUUAAAAAUUACUUUAUUUCUUUUUUAAGUUAAUAUUUUUUUUUAUUUAAGCUAUACUUAAUUGUUAAUAACUAUCAUAAUUAUGAAAUAAUUAAUUAUAUUACUAAAAGUUUAGAUAAUGUAUUAUAGUAGAUUAAGUGAAUCUAUUUAAUAUUUGUAAUUAUUUAAUUGUUAUGAAGUGAAUAAUAUUUAUUUUUUAGAGGCAACAAUAUACUUUUUUAGUCCCAAGUGCACAAUUAAUUUUAAAUUAGUCCCUCUAAUUCUAUAAAAUAAAAUAAAUAAUCUUUCUAGUUCAAAAAUUAAUUAACUAGUCCUUGUGUUUCAAUUUUAUUUGUAAAUUAAUUAUUUUUGUCGGUUCCAUGUUUUUAUUUUUAUUUUCAGUUUAGUUUGUUUUUCUUGUUUUAAAAAUAGAUAAUGGGGAAAGAUUUAAAAGAAAAGAAAAUUUUGUUAAACAAAAUAAUAAAUUUUAUUUUCAAUUUAGUUUGUUUUUCUUGCUCUAUACUAUCUCUCUUUUUUUCUAGAAAUAUAAAUAACAAUCACAGCAACUAAAAAUAAUAGUACAAGCACAAGAAUCAACUAAAAUUACUUCCCCGGCAACGGCGCCAAAAUUUGUUGCGACGUCGCGGUCGCAUAAAUUAAUUACCCUAGCUUCAAACACAACACACAAGAUAGUAUAGAGCAAGCAAGGGGUCGACUCCACGAGGAAGUUUCAAGUCAGAUUUUUAUGUUGUAUGUUAUGUAAUUGGGGGGAUUUGGUUUGUGAUUAUCUAAACUAUGGCAGCAAUUAAACUAGCAAACAAAAUCAAUUAAAACCGAAACUUAUCAAGAAAACAAAUCUUGGUCCCAAGCACACAUUUACCUACGGAAAUUAGAACCGAUCCUUGAAACGAAAAUUGCAGUUUAUGUUCUGAAAUUUUAUCUUUUCUUAACGUUGAUUAAUUAACGGAUCCGCCGUAUAAUUAUCCUAACCAACAAACAAUCAAAGUGUCCGCACUAAUGAUUCAAUUUAAUGGCAGCUUUAAGAAUUAGAUAAUUUCAUCAAGAUUAACAUACAAGCUUUCUGCAGCUUGUGUCACUUUGUUCAAAUGUUCUCCCUAAGUUCAAUAACGUAGUUCCGCCACAAUUAUCAAGCUUAGUUGCUUCACAAGUUCAUAUAUCACAACUCCGGUUUUGAUAUUAAACUUAACAACAGAUUGUUCACAACAAUAACUUAGAGUCCGCUCUAGCACUCAUCAACAACAAUCAUAGGAAAUAUGCAUAGGAAAACAAUCAUACUCAUUCAUAACAUAAACUGAAAAUAAAAUGAAGAAUAAAUCUCACGGUUCUUGAAAUCUGAAGAUUUGUUGUGUCCUUGCAACCAAUAAAAGAGCUUAGCCUUGCAUAACUAUUGAACAAUUACUUCUAAAGAAUGAAAAGAGCAUGAUUUUUGGGUUUGUAGAUGAGAGAAUUUGUGUUUAUUCUCUGCUGGCUGCUAGCCCCUUCUCACUUUCUUUUUAUAUGCUAAGAAACCCCAGUCUCUAUUUUACAAAAUAGUCUUUUAUUAAGUUGGCAGUUUACAUUUAAGUACUUCAAUAAUUAUUUUCCCUAAAAAAAAGAAAUAGCCUUGCAUAAAGUCUUCAAUCUCUGACUUAGAGGAGCUAAAUUGCUCAUAUAAAAACUUGGAUGUCGGUUUAGAUGCUUCGGAAUGUAAUUUGAACUCGUUUCUUCACAAAACCUGUUUGCUGGUAGAAUUUAGUUGUCAUCUUUGAAAAAUCAUAUCUCCCUCAUAUAACAUUGUUUUUGGCUGAAAUUUGGCGCGUUGAUAGGUCAUUGAGUUAGGAAUCCAAAACAAUUGAGUUUGCAUCAAUUGGACUUCUGUAACUCCAGAUAUUAAUUUUUGAAUGGUCAAAGGUCAACACUGGCAAAAUGCGAGAUUUGACUUUUACAGGAUGUGAUUUCCAUGAUCUUUCUCUUUUUAUUUUUCUUGCAUUACAUUUCCAAAAAGGUAUGGAUGUUAGCUUUUUAGUGCCACUGGAAUCACUUCAUUUCGAUCUUUAGAACUCACGCUCUGCACAAAACAUCGAUUAAACGUCAAAUCUGUCAAUUACCUCCAAUUUACUCUUUUUUGUAUCUUUCAUUCAAAAAUGCCUUCAAAACAUAAAAUAAAGAAUAUCAAGACAUUUUAUAUAUAAAACAUGGACAAAACAUUAGGUAGAUGUGGGUGAAACUAUCGAAUAAUAUAGUUAUAUCAGUUAAUACUAAUCAAUAGACUAGUUAUUUAUAAGGACACUACUGUGCUUUAAAAUAUUUUUUAAAAUAUUUUUAGAUUAUUUUGAUGUAUUUAUAUUUAAAAUAAAUUUUAAAAAAUUAAAAAAAUAUUAUUUUAAUAUAUUUUAAAUAAAAAAUACUUUAAAAACUAUAAUAACGAACAAUAACAUAAUCUUCUGACAUUAUAAAAUAAUAAUAAUAAUAAUAAAGUCAAAAUUAAAUUCUCACAUCUAAUAAAAUGAAUAAAUCGAUCAUCUCCCAUAAAACCCACAUUUUCUUAAAUAAAAAUAAAAAUAAAAAUAAAAAACCCCACAUAAACCUCCUCUCUUCUUCGCAGAUCUCUCCUUCUUUCUGUUCACAAUCAUGAGAAGAGCGUCGACUCUCGCGUCUUCCGUCCUCUCUCGGACCCUCUCCUCCACCCUCCACGAUUGCAGUGGCCUCUCCACCACCUCAGCUGCUACCAUCAACCACCGCUUCCUCCAUGCUGCACUCUUUAGCACCACCACCAGCACUGGCAGUUCCAGCACUCGCCGGAUCUUCAAUCCUUUCUCCACAUAUCUCGGUGUCGCGGGAGCCUUGGUCUCUGCCGCCGCCGCCGCUUCUCUCUCUCAAGAAGUCCUCGCCAAGGAGCCACCACCGGCCGAGCUCGUGCCCAAGGAAGUUGUUCUUUAUCAGUAUGAGGCCUGUCCUUUCUGCAAUAAAGUUAAAGGUCUCCUUUUUAUAUGCAAGUUAGAAAUAAUUUUAUGAAUAUAGAGCUUUUUAGCUUUACAGUUCUUAAAAUAGUUGAUUUUUUUUGUUUGGUAAAAUUUUCAGCAUAUUUGGAUUACUAUGAUAUACCAUACAAAGUGGUGGAAGUGAAUCCUAUUAGUAAGAAAGAGAUCAAAUGGUCUGAUUAUAAGAAGGUACCUAUUUUGUUGGUAGAUGGCGAACAGCUUGUUGAUUCUUCAGGUUAUUUUCAUUGUGAUUUUUCUUAAAAAGGGAUUUUGAAUUGUGUUGAUGGAUUUUAUUUUGGUGGUGUAAAUUCCGGUUAUUGAUUAUGUUCAAUUGAAUGUGAGCAGCUAUAAUUGAUAAGUUGGGAAACAAGAUCCAUGGUAAGGAAAUUGUAGAUUCUGCUUCUGACAAGGAUGACGAUGAAGAGAAAAAGUGGCGGAGGUAUGGUGCCUCACUUUUGUAGCUUAGUUUUUUUUUCCGGUCAUUUUGGUUUCUUUGUUUCAAUGAAGACAGAGAUGCAUUACCGGUGUCAUAAAAAGGGAAUUUAUUAUUUAUUGUUAUCAUAUAAAAUGGGAAUGUUUAAAUUUAGGGCAAGUUAAUUUUGUUGGCAAUGUCUUAACCUUAGUAACCUUGUUCUUUUCUUUUGGUUAAAAAGACCUUUUUCUUUAAGUUUUGGAUUUGGUGUUUUAGGAAAAGCAUAUAAGUAAUGUAGAUUAGUUUUCCAUGAUUUUCAUGAACUCAGCUUUGGGUUCAUAUAUCUUUGUCAAAUUUCCAUCUGAAUCCAAGAUAUCUCUUCAAUUUAUAUGGGUCCCUGGUAUGAGUUCCUCUCUCCUUCAGUCAAAACCUACACGUUUACAUUUCAGCCUUACGUCUCCCUCCCAAAGUCUCAGAAUUGGUAAUCUAUAUCAGUUUCAGCAAUGGUUCUUCAUUAUUUGUAUCAAAUUGUAAAUCUAAUCAUACAGAAGAUACGGAAUGAGAGCUGUUCGAUCUUGAUGCAUUAGUUAUGGCUGCCUUGCUGGAUGAAAACUUAGCCCUGUAGCAGAUUGAUUGCUGUUGGGUAGGUUGUUCAGCUCGCCAUAUUCUAUCUGUGAUUGGUUUAAACCACCAACAUUUUCUCACUUGACCAUGAGUUCUUUAACCUCUCUCAAGUUGUGACCUCUUAAAAUAGGUGAUAGAAAAUUGUGUAGCUCAAAAAUUCAUAUCCCACACGUAGGCCAUUAUCCAAUUGCAAGCAUUAAAUUUCUAAGACUAGGGAGAGAUUUUCUCAUAAUUAUGGCAUCUUCGUCAUUGGAAUCAAAGGUUAACUUUGUUUCUUUCUUUUUGGUUUUUUAUUCUUUCAAAAUAUUUUUGGUCAUUUUAUGUGUUUUUAAAAGUUUAUAUUUUCAAAUAGAAGAACCAACUCUUUUUUUAUUCCCCAAUGUUGAUGGUUGUCCAAUAUAACUGGUGCUUCUCACGUGCUGUAACUCUGUACACCUUGAAUGUCAGCAUUUGCCAGCUACACUAGGUUUUUCCUAACUAACAUCUCAUUUUAGACUUGAAUUGAAAAUUUUAAAUGUGCAAAUGAUAUGGGAUAAAAGAGAUUUGAAGAUGAAGUAAUUAGCUAAGAAGAAAAGGCCAAAGAAAAAGAAGAAAAGGCCAAAGAAGAGAAGAAUGAGGGUUGGAAAAGUUUGCAAUUUUAUAAUUUUUAUCCAAUUCAUCAAAAUUGUCUAACAUUUAGAAAAAUAAGAUAUAAAUACUAAAAUCCUAAUUAGAAUAAACAAUUGAGUUCAUAGCCUAAUAAAUAAAAUAUUUAACAAUAGCUAAAUCAAGCUCAACAAAUAAAGCCUAAUUAAGAAACUUCAACUAAAAAUUCAAAUAAAUUAAACCAUAAAAACAUAAGUUAAAGUCUAAUCUCUCAAUGGUUUGGGCCACCCUCCAUCAUCUAUGAUCAUACAAGUGCAUAAUCAAUAUCUUGGGUCUGGUGUCCCCACUAACUAUCUUGGGAUUGGACAAACUCGAUUUCGUCAAGUCUAGUUCAAGACGGCUCCAAUAAUACUUCCAAAGAUCAUGAUCAAGUUGUUGCGAUGUCUCUCUAAUAAUCUAGGUAUAGUCUGAAUCUGGUUAUCUAGCUCAUAUACUGUGAUUCGCUGAAAUUUACAAUCUUUGGUAAAAACAACUUGUGCAUUCAAAGUAGCAUUAAUAUGUUCCUUUUGUGCCAACGAUAAGGAUAAAAGGGUAGUGAUAUUAAAAGGAGCAUUGGGAAUAGGCUAUCGUGUUUUAUAUAUAAUGAAGUCCUCCAUGUUAAAAGUAGAGCUAAUAUCAAAGUUUAGUGUCAAUUUAAUGACAUCAUUAUUUGAUUCAAUCAUUUGCAAUACUUUGAAUAGUCUAGCAUUACUCACUUGAAAUUUAUGACUAGUUUUCAAAGGACACUGUAUAGGUCUAAUCUGUAUUAUGAAAUAAUAUUUAACAUUAAGUGCAUCAUAAUACUUGUGUAAAUCAACUCUAAAUUUGUAUCGUUGAUUACUUGCUUAAAUAUGUUUUAUGAUCUUAACAUGCAAAUUAUGAACUCUAUAUGCAAAAACCUUAGCUGAAUCAGACCUUUUAGAGUGAGGAGACAUCGAAAGAAGAUCUAGAGGCUUUCUAGGUUUGUAACUAUGAACACUAAAUGACUGAGAAUGUGGAGUGAAACAAACACUAUUUAAAACUUUAGUAUAUAUAGCUUGAACAUAACAUAGUAAAUUAAGAUUAUCUUUAUCUUCCUCAUCACGUGUCAGGGGUAAGGGAUUGUAGAGCUCAACAUGUUGCUCUAAACUUAUGACGUGCUAGACGUCAAGCAUGAGGGGGGUGAGGAGCAUGCGGCUCUAAACUUUUGACAUGCUGGACGUCAAGCAUGGUGAGUGGGGAAUCAGGUAGUUUAAGAGGACUAAUAUCAUGAGACUCUUCUAAGAUUAUAUUUAACUCUUCAAGCAAUUUCACUGAUUUUUUUUCUAAAACUUAUGACUCUACCACUAAAAUAGAAUUACUAUAUUCUUUAUUAACCUCAUCUUCAUACUCAUUUGUAUUUAUAAUGUUAAGUUCCUCUUCUUGCACAUCUUCUUCAUCUAGGUCACUAAAGUCCUUAAGAUUAGGUUCAUACACUUGCACACAAUAGUUUUUCUUUUCACCUAUAUCCUUAUGUUCUUGGAUGACUAGGGUUUAGAGGUGCAAUUGAAGAAGAUAUGACCGAAAACUUGACAGUUAGCACACUGAACCUCUGAACUUAUUCUAGACAUUUCAUUAACGACUCUUUUUCCUUGUCUUCUUUAUAAAUUCGAGCACUACUGCGAUUAUGUCUAUAUGAUGGGUUGCCUAACAAAUAACUAUCAUUCCUAAAUUGAGAUCUAAAAAGGGUACUAUGAGGGUCUUAACAUUUUAUCAAUUGACUUAUUAUAAGCAACUCAUAAUCUUGUAUUACAAUAUAUGCUUGGUCAAGAGUGAAAUCACCUAUGAGCUAGAUCUCUUUUCUAAAAUCAUCAUUCAAACCUUUACAAAAUCUACGCAAAGUCAUGACUUCAUUUUUUUAUGGCACAUCUCAUCAUGUAAUCGUUAAACUAUGUUAUAUACUCAUUGAUAGACUUGUUCCUUUGUCUUAGAUUGUUCCAUUGGUCUUAGAGUUUAUUUCUACAAGACUGAAAUAUGUACUUAUCUUGUAGUUUUUGUUUCAUUUUGGUCCAAUCAGUUAUAAGAGGUUUACCUUUUAUCUCUAAACAAAUCAUCAACAUCUCUCCAAUAAAGUUGGACUUCACUAAUAAGUAUCAUCUUAGCAAAUCUAACUCUUUUAUUAUCAGACAAGUUGUGCCACUCAAAGAAUUGAUCCAUGUCAUGAAUUCACAUAUCAAAUAUCAAAGGGUCAUGACGACCCUCAAAAGUGGAGGCUUCUAUUUUGUUAGGACUCAUGACUCGCUCAUCAAGGUAUUCGUAUUUAAAGUAACCUAAAUGAUAGUCAUGUUGGUGGUGCUCAAGGUGAACUUGUCUACAAUGAUUAUUGUUGUGAUAUGUAUUGGUCUUUGGGUACCUUAUUUGAGAACUCUCUUGGGGUUCAAUUCUUUUAAACAUGUUGGUCACCUGAGUUUGCAUAAGCUGUAAUUCCCUAAGUGUAUCACUAAUGGUCAGGUCAAUGAUAAGUGUAGAUUCAAAGUUAGAUACUAGAUGACCAUGACGCAAAUGCAUGUAAUACUAAUAUAGAGAUGAAAUUGAGAUCACAAAUGGCUCUUGCAAGCGGAAUCAUAAUAUAAAAAUAAAGAUAACAACAUUUUUUUUUCUUAUUGUGGAGAUCAAUAAAAAAUGGAGCACACCGGGAAAAUUAGAAGCAUGCAAUGCUAGACAUUCAAAGUAUAAACAAAAAAUCAAACACAAUAUCAUAGGCACAAGCUUACAAUUAUCAAAGGGGACAAGAUACUAGAUAUCAAUGAUGAAAGCGUUGAUGAACAAAAAUUAAAAGAUAAAAAUGUAAGGUAGAACUUUUUUUAGGCGCAAAAGUAAUAUUAACGACAACUUGAAAUAACAAAUGUAAAAAGCAGAAAAUUAAAAUUCAAGGAAUUAGAAAGUAGAGUAAUUCAAUGACCGAGACUCAAAUCAUUAAAUUUGAUUGCAAAUAACUUUGAAUCGUUGAUGUCAUAAUGUCCUGAAUAUUGUCCUUUUGUUGUUUUCACUUUCCCUCUUUUUUUUCCCUCUGUUUUAUUUAUUUCACUUUUUUUUUUCUCUUGACCACUUUUUUUUGUCACGGAUCUCUCUCUCUCCUUCUAUUUUGACUUUUGAUUUUUUUUUUAAUAAAUCAAUAUAAAAGAUAAACUAAAUGAGGGUUGAAAAAAUCUGUUACUUUGCAAUUUUUAUUCAAUUCAUCAAAAUUAUCUAACAUCUAGAAAAAUAGGAUAUAAAUACUAAAAUCCUAACUAGAAUAAACAAUUGGGUUCAUAGCCCAAUAAAUAUAAUACAUAACAAUAGUUAAAUCAAUCCCAAUAAAUAAAGCUUAAUUAAGAAAUCACAACUAAAAAUUCAAAUAAAUUAAACCUAAAAACAUAAGCUAAAGCUCAAUCUUUCAAUGGUUUAGGCUAUCCUCUAUCAUUUAUGAUUAUACAAGGGCAUAAACAAUGUCUCUGGUGUCCCCACCAACAAAUAAACUUGUUGAUCGACAAAAACAAAAAAUAGAAAAAAGAGGAAAAUCAAAUAGAAAUUCCCAAAAAGCUGGCUGACUAAUUUUUGCAGUUAUUUCCUAUAAUUUUGCUUCUGCAUAUAGAUGAAGUUAUGGAACAUUUGUAGAAUUGUUUUUGGCGACGUGCAUGCUUGUGAUCUGAUGCAUACAUAAUUUUCUAUUGUAAGAAAAUCAAUGCUCUCAUACUCUUGCACAUGCCAUGCUUACAUAAUUUGGUCAACAUGUUUAUGCCAUUUUUGGUUGAUGUUCGUAAAACAGUUAUCAAUUUGUCACGUUUUUGUUUCUUUUCUUUCUUUGUAAGCACAAUACUGGUUAGAUUUUAGUUGUUGCUGGCAUGCCAAUGCUAGAUCUUGACAUAUUAUUUAUUGCUUAUUUAGGUGGGUUGACAAUCACUUGGUUCAUGUCUUGUCUCCAAACAUAUAUCGAAAUACUUCUGAGGCUCUUGAAUCUUUUGACUAUAUCACAAGCAAUGGUAAGAUGAUCCAUGGAUAUGCAUACCUGAAUGAAACAGUAGUUUCCCUACAGCUGACUCUUGUGGGAAAGAGAUCUUUGGUUCAGUUUAUGCUUUUUUCCAUUUAUAACUUUGUGCGAUGAUUUAUAAUUAUUUACCUAUUGGUAUAUGGUUCCAUUUUUUUCUCAAUCAUUAAACGAGGAAAGUCUGGUAUGUUUCUCCUUAUAAUAGUUGCUCCAUAUGCUCAUGAUGCCUUUGAAAAAAUAUUAUAAUAUUUUUGGGAAACAUUGUGAUUAACUACCUAUCAGAGUCCCCUUUUCUUCUACAUAUUUCUAUUCAUGUUCAUUUGCAAAGCUUUUGUUUGUAGAUUACUCUUAACUUCAUUGAUUAUGUUGAAAAACAUAAUAUGCCACCUUAUUUGAUUUGCUCGGGAAGGCUUUUCCACUCAAUUUUAUUCCCUGCUGGAUAACGUGAACAUGAGUUACCUAGAUUACUCAUAACUUUGUUGCAUUGAUGAUUAUGGUGAAAAACAUGAUAUGCUUGACAGUAUGCAUACACUUUGUAAAUCAACAGACCAUUUAAAUAUCUUUUUUCUAUAAAACAUUGCCAAGCAAUGAUCAUAUAAGUUAUCUGCACCAAAAAAUAAAAAUAAAGAAUUGAUGUGCGAAGUUUGAUAGUUAAGAAGUAAAGUACAGAUUGUCACCUGCAUAUACUAAAUGCACCAUUGUUUAAGAUUUUCAGUUAGUUUAAUAGUGACCAAGUUUUUAUGUGUUGACAUUCAUCAUACUUAGCAAUAAGAUGACCAAGUUCCUGGGCAGUUUCUCCUCAUAGUCUAUUCUUUAGAAAAUUAGAGUUGGUGUCUUAGAACCACUGAUAAUUACAAACUUGUCUCUAAGAACAUUUUCCCAGUAAGAGCAAAGGGAGAGAAUAUUUUGUCUUCAAGAGCAAUCUUAUUUUGAGGGCAACAUUGAUGUGGCUGGUGUAGAACAUUAUGUCAGGAUAUUAGAAACAAAAUGACUUGACACCUCUGUUUCAUUGGGAAUUUCUACAUUAUUAUACUUUUGGUUGUCAGAUAAUUAAUCCCAUUAACUUGUCUUUAAUAUUUCAGAAAUGGUCUAUGGCUCCAUCAAGCUUUAAUCAUGCUGUUCUGUUUUCAAUGCUUUGUGUCCCGUCUCUCGUCUAAUGUAAAUAUGUGAGUUUGUUAUUUUGAGGAACCUUUGAAGAUCAGAAAAUUAAUAAUUGUAUUGAAUUGUUUCAUCCGGGGAUCACAACUUCCUUUAGUCAUUCCUUUCAUUUGAUUGCAAGUGACAGUUAUCAUUUCAUUUAUGAUUACUUCAUCAUCCUGUACUCAUCCUCAUAUAGGUUCUAGGUAACUUAUUCCAAGUUAAUGUUGUUCAUAGAAUUAUGCUUUUAAGGUUCACUCUGAUUCUGUUCAAAAUUAUCUGUGAGAUGGCAUAUAUUUUGUCCAUUUAUCUUGAUUUCAUUGUAAACUUCUCCUGUAAAUGCAGGUAAUUUUAGCUUUACAGAAAGAAUCACAGUCAAGUAUGCCGGAGCUGCUGCAAUGUAUUUUGUGUCCAAGAAUUUGAAGAAGAAAUAUAACAUUACUGAUGAACGUGCUGCCCUGUAUGAAGCUGUGGAAACGUGGGUGGAUGCUCUAAAUGGCCGAGAGUUUCUUGGUAUGCAGCUGACAUAAUAUCAUAUUAAUGCACAUGACUUGCAUACUAUAUGUAUAUACAUGUGCACGCUGCCAUAUCAUUUUAUAUUGUAAACUCCAAUAAAAAAACCAAACCAAAAGUAAUGGGAGAACAGAUGGUUUCCAAGGCCAGGCCUCCAUCCUGCGCAAUUGAUCUGCUUUAUCCCAUAGAAAGCUAAGAUAACUUUCACAACUGUUUAAAGCUAAGAUUCUGAUUUAAACCUUUGCACAACCUUUCAAAGUUGUGUGUGACAGAUAUAUUUAUGUUUUUUCUUAUAUGCCACAGGGGGGUCAAAGCCUAACUUAGCUGACCUUGCUGUCUUUGGGGUAUUGAGACCCAUCCGCUAUUUGAGGUCUGGUAGAGAUAUGGUGGAGCAAACUCGAAUAGGGGAUUGGUACACAAGAAUGGAGAAUGCUGUGGGGGAGUCCUCAAGGAUGAAGGCAUAGAUUAUGCACUACUCAUUUUAACUUCCAGCUUCUACAACCACGGUAUUAUGAACACGAACCAAAAGAUUUGAUAAUGAUUUUGAUGGCUAAACAAUUUUGUGAUGGAAGAAUUUGAAGCUGAAGCUCAUUUUUAAAAACAUGAUUACUGUCGUAUAAUUGGAGAGAGAUAGGAAAAUAAAGAAAUUUUACACGUGGAUUGUAAAACUACCCAUGGAUCAUCGUAUUCUUAACUGGUACGCUACACAGCUAUCAUUCUUUAUGCUAUUUUGGUCCUUUUGUUUGUUGAAUAAGCUAUGGCUGUUCAAUUUCUGUUAUUUUACCGGGGCCUUGGCUGUUCAAUUUCUGUUAUUGAUAGCAUGGGUGGCAGCAAAGCUACUUCAGAUUUGUUUGUCAUGGGUGUUAGAAAGUUGGAAAAAGACUAAUGAGGUGAAAUUCUUGCUCGAGCCCUCGGAUGAUGAAUAGAAUUGGUUUGCCUCUUGAAUAACACCCUGCGUAUUUGGUUAGACUAGUUUUCUGUUUUAAGAACAACUACAUUUGGCACAACAUCACCUUAAUAUCUGCAGUUACGGGAAAGAUCCUACUUCACAUCAAGUUUUGAAGGCUCGAGCGCAUCUUCUUGUCACCAUGAUGCAAUUCUCUUCCCAGUUUUUGAUGGGUGUCCCAGUCUGGUGUGCUUUUCCUACAAAGCAGCCAGCGAGGGAAUUGGAUUUUCUUGCGUAUGUGCUUGGAUGGUGGACUGAAUUGAUUUGGCGGUUGAAACUCCUGCAUAUUUUGUUGAGCCUGAGCUAGGAGAGGAGGAUUUUGAUUUUCUAUCCUUGAGAACAAAAGAAAAGAAAACGUUGCUGUGCUCAGUUCUCUCACAACAAUGCUUUUGUUUUUCUUCUAAUUAGUGCGCACUGAGAUAGGAAGCAUUUGCUUACAGGUCUUCGCCAUCAGCGGUUUUUUAACAGAACUACAAACAACCAUAUGGAUCACAAAUGCUUCUUCACAUGGGACAAUGGGAGUGACAGGUGACUUGGGACUUGAGAUUUCCUUGCACAAUCAUAAAAAACUGUCUUCGGGAUAGAGUUAUCUCAUUGUCUUUAGGACAAGGGGGGUCAAAGACUUCAGAUUUGCCGGACCUUGCUGUGCUUGGAGUCAUAAGACUCAUCAGCACAUUUAUGUUUGGUGGAGAUAUGGCGGAGCUCGCUUGAAUGGGGGAGGAGGACAUAAUAAUGGAGAAUACUGUAAGGGAGUUUUCAAGGUUUUGAAUUCACAACAUGAUCUGUACUUAUGGAGUUUCUGUAUCACCAUGCUAUAGGACAACUUAACCGAAAGAAACCAAGAUUCUGUAACAAACGGUUUUAGAUCCUAUAAACAAUGGGUGUCGAUGAUUGUUUUCAUUAUUCAGAUCUUAAAAACCAUGAGCAGUAUUGUCGUGGUAAGAAAUUUAAGAAGAAAUAUUCAAUCCACAUAGAAUGCUGGUGAUGUGCGCUCUAAAAAUCAAAGAAAAAAUGGCUUAAAAAAUAAGUCAAAACAAAAAAAAACAAAACAAAAAAGGCUCCAAAACUCCAAGACAUGAGAGAGUAACACCUCCCUGUUAGAAGUAAAUAAAAACUGAAAAACUGAUUAAAUCGAGAAAAUAAAAAAAAUAACUAAAAAAAUUAAACUAUAAAAAAACUGAUUAAACCGAUUAAAAUAUUUUAAAAAAUAUUCAAUUUGAUUCGGUUUCAUAAACUUGAAACUGAAAAAAUAAAAAAAUCAAACCAAGCCGAAGCUAAGCCCAUUAAAAAAUCCAAAAAACCCCCAAAAAACAAUAUAGUUUUUUGUUUUUAAUAUAAAAUAACCUAAACCAAACCGAACCGCACCAAAACCAAACCGAACAGAACAAAAACUGGUUGGUUGAGUUUUAGUUUUUAAUAUAAAAUAACCGAAUCGAAACCGGUCUGUUUAAACCGGUUUCGGUUUUUUUUUGUAUUUUACAAAAUUUCAGUUUAAUUGUUUUUAUAAGUAAAAAUCAAACCAAACCAAAAAUAUUAGCUUCUAUCUACUUCACAUUAUACAUUAUGGGUACAUCAACUUCUUCAUAUCUCCGACAACAACUAACACAACAAGUGAGGAUACUCAUGAAAGCUUUAUUAACAACCUGAGGAACUCAAGUUCUUGCCUCUUCCUCCACAAUUGGCUCUCAUUGGCUGCACCACCUGCACCUCUACUGCCCAUAUAUAACUCCAAUUCAAAGAAGAAACAAGUCAAAACAAUGUGCACUAGAUAAAAGGAGUGUUACCAUCCUCACAUCCCAUAUAAAAGCCACUCUCGCCAUUAUAAAAAGCGUUAUCCAAGUGGAUAUAUACUCCAAGCAUAACAAAAACAAGUCUAAGGAACAUUUAGUAUUAAGUCAUUGUCAUCACCACCUCUCAUCAAGAACUUUCUUUGAAAGUUUGUACAGAGAAAGAUCUUGGAGGGAAGCUCGUUUCAUGAUUAUAAAAACCCUCGAUAUGGAGGUGUAUAUCCAUCGCUACGUGAGAGGUUCUCUGUUGGCUAAAUGAGUAAGGACCCCUCUUUUCCUGAUGUUCACAAUUGAUGGUACAGUACCUAUCAUAUUCUCUUAAUUCGCCAUAAUAGAUGGAUUUGAUUAAAACUUGUAGUGUUUUGAUUGUUUUUAUAAACUUUUGAAGAUCAUAUUCAGAAGUCUUUCCAUAUACAUCUACGUAGGCACUCUUUGUUUUUGUUGAAAUUGAAGGAAUAAAACACUAUGGUUUGUAUUAUUUGGUGAGAUAUAUAAUUAACCUCUUGAUAUCAAAGCAGUUAAUGACACCAAGAGCCCGUGCAGGCAUCCAUGUGAAUCUUCCAGCAUUUCAAAAGUUGGACUCUGCUUAUUGUUGGCAACCUCUUCAUUCCUGAAAUGGAGAUUAACAGUGAAUGAGAAGUAAUUCAUAGAGAUUGUUUUGGCUUUAAAUCUUAGAAUUGAUGGUCGCUACCCUCUUGGUAUCGUAAAAUUCUCGUCAAAUUUGGCAGGAAAAUUGCUUAUUAAUACUCUUUUUUUUUUUUUGAGUUCAUGUUUCACCUUCCAAGCUCUCCCUUUGACUUUACACAUUUUACUGUAAUGUUAUGCAUGUUUUUUUAUCAUCAAAAGGCUGUUGUGGGUUUGGUUUCAGUGACGCAUAGGAGCUUCAAGAUGAAUGGGAAAAUGGGGUCUCUUCGAUGAGUUGUUAUUGUGCCAUUAUUGCUAGGUCUUCACAACUUGAAUAUGGUUUUGUUGGGACAGCCAUGACUCUGCCUUUUGUUUCAAUCAACCUUUUUUUAAGGAAGACAGCAAUCUCCUCUCUUUUUUUCCUCUUAUUUUGUUCAUUGCUUCUUUGAGAAAUCUACUGUAGUGUUCAGCUUGCAUUUACAUUCAUUGCUUGUUUUGUGCAGACUAGCUAGCUUUCGACUCCAUGCCACCUGUUUUUGCUUGGCAUGUAGCAGACUGGGAGCUUGCUUUUGCGUCUCUCACUGAUCAUAGCUGCCUUCAGUCGCACCAGCUCCAACAACAUGUGUUUGUCGAGCCCUCCUUACAUCCAAAUUUUAUGUUGCAGUCUCCCUCGAGUGUUUUAUUUUAGUUUUUUUUCUUUCAAUUUUUCUAUUUGUUAACAAUUUUAGCCAAAUUAGACUCCAAUCAAACCCUCACGAAGCAAGAUUAAAAGAAAUAAAGAAAGAAAGGAAAGGGAAAAAAAAAUAAUCUCAGUUUAUAACAGAGUUAUCAAUUUUAUUUCGUUCUAUUUAGAAUACUUGAUAUAUCUCGUUCUAGUUUAAAAAAUUAAACAAACUGGAACAGAUUUCAUCUCACUCAGAAUCUCAGCUCGUUUUAUAAAUUUUGACCAAAUUCCAAUUGGAACGUUCUGGUUUUGUUCUGAAUGUUCCGUUUUAGUCAAAUGAUUUAAAAAAAAAACAUAUUAUUUAGUUUUACAGUAUCAAUCAUAUCUCUCAAUCCAACCUUUGUUCAAGUUAGAAUUUUACAAUGAGUCUCCUAAUAUAUUAUUAUAUCUCAAGUUAAAAUUUUAAAACAAUCGGGGUUUAGAAAGGCCUUGUGAAACUGUCAAUGAUAUUUUCAUAAUUUCAUUCAAAUUUGUAAUUUUAUUUCAAAAAGGUUAUUUUUUGUUUUUUUUAAAUUGAUUUUUUUUUCAAUUUCAUCAUUCAAAUUUAUUGAGAAUUGAUUUUCAUGCUUUAUUUUGAUUUGUUUUAUUUGAGGUUAUUGUGGUCUUAUGAUCCGGAUCAUGAAUUUGAAAGGUUAACCCGAGUUUAUCAAUAUGUUGUUGUCUCAAUAUUUUUUUAAAAAAAUAUUUCAUCUUGAAUUUUUUUUAGUCGAAUUAUAUUUUAAUCAAUCGUUCAGGUUGUUUUUAGAUUCGUUGAGUUGUUCAGGUUAUAUUGAUUCAAAUCCUUUUUUUUAUUUAUGUUUGAAAUUCACAGUUUUAAGUUAAUUUAUUAUUAAAUUUAAAUUAUGUUUGUUAAAUUAAUAUAUAUAUAUAUAUAACUCCAAAACAACACGUCAAAAACUGCAUGCCACGACACUCCAAAAUCCGUUCCAAUUGAAAAAACAUACCGCAAACUGAAACGGAAUGACAACCUUGAUCCACAGUGCUUUGGAAACAAUAUUUCCCCAUUUCUUAAAAAAAUAAAAAUAGUAAGCAAUUAAAAGCUAAAAACGGCUGGCUUGCUCUUCUGCUUCGGUGUUUUGUUGGGCAAUUGAAACAUUAGGGUUUCUUCGGCGACCUGCGAAUCAAACUCCCUAUAGAUUAUCUUGGCGGAAAGAAAAAGGUAACUUUCUUGCAUCACUUAAAGUGAAAUUCAAUUCAAUCCAAUCCCCAUGUUUUAUUUUCUCAGCAAAUCCGUUCUCCAGUAUGGGAGACACACUGCUGCAGUUUCACCCACCCACAAGCACUUUUCAUUUCAACUCUCACCUUCAACUAUCACUAUUAGAUUCUUCAUCUCAACCCUUGAAAAUCCAAAUAAACACUCAUUUGCAGCCUCUUAUCUCAUAAGCAAAUUUGGGUUCUCUCCUGAAUCUGCUCUUUCAGCUUCUAAACAUCUCAAUUUUACAACCACAGAGAAACCUGACUCUGUGAUUCACAUUUUCAAGCACUAUGGUUUCUCUCAGGUUCAAACCUUAAAACUCGUUAAAAAAUACCCACGAGUGCUUUCGUGCAACCCUGAGAAAACCCUUUUGCCUAAACUCGAGUUUUUCCACUCUAAAGGCAUGUCAAACAAUGACAUUGCACGCAUUUUAUGUACAUAUCCUCAUAUUUUAGUUAGAAGCUUGGAAAACUGUAUAACUCUUAAUUUUAACUUCCUUGGCAAUUUGCUUCAAUCUAAUGACAAGACAAUUGCUGCUGCUAAAAGAUACUCGCCUAUUCUAUAUCAUAAACCCGAUAGAUUCUUGAAACCUUGUAUCGACAUUUUGGAAGAGUAUGGAGUCCCCAAAAAGCAUAUUGCUUCAUUGGUUCACCGUUGGCCUAGGUCUGUCAUGAUGUCUCCGAAUUAUCUGAGAAGAAUUGUAGAGAAGGUGAGAGAAAUGGGAUGUGAUCCUCUUAAGCCACAGUUUACUACGGCAGUGAUGGUGAUGAGUCUAUUGAGCGAAUCUGGGUGGGAAAGGAGGCUGGGUGUUUAUAAGAGUUGGGGUUGGUCUGAGGAAGACGUUCAUGCUGCUUUCAUAAAGGAGCCUUGGUGCAUGAUGACAUCAGAUGAUAAGAUUAUGGCAGUGAUGGAUUUUUUGGUCAACAACAUGGAUUGUGAGCCUUCAUUUAUUGUGAAGAACCCCUAUCUUUUGAAGCCAGGCUUGAAGACAACAUUUAUACCAAGAGCUUCAGUUGUUCACUUUUUGUUAUCGAAACAGUUGAUUGAAACGAAGCCAAACUUGGUUACUCUGUUUUUGUGUUCUGAGAAGAUGUUCCUUGAGAAAUUCGUGUAUCGUUUUGAAGAAGCCCCUCAGCUAUUAAAGCUGUAUGGAGAUCAAUCAAAUCUUUCAAAAUGACAUGGAAAUGUAACCAUUUUGUGAAUCGUUUUUCUCCCUACAGAUUUCGUUGGAUACUGUAAUGCAACUACAAGGGUAAGUUGACCUCAGUUUUUGGCUUCCUUAUUCUUCAAUUUCUCAAUUGAAGCUCGAUUUGAGUAAUGUGGUAUUUCAUCGCUCUCUUAUGCAACUCCACUGCUACAUUUAUUUUGGUGUCUUUUAUAAGUGAGUUUGUUUACCAGCACAAAGGAAAAGAUGAUGGCUUCUGUUCUCUGGUGUCUUCCUGAGAAGACAUGUGCAUCCAUUAAUUGGUGGAGUUAUCUUCAUCUUCCAUUUCAAGCAUAUCAAAGUCAUGCUGUAGUGGAAUUGGUGUUGAAAAACACUACCUGUAUGGUGAAUUUUGAGCAGUCAUGGAAUGAUUGAGAGUCCAUAUGCUAGAAUGCAGAUAGAUUAAGGAUUUUGAAUUCAAUGUUCCACAUCUAAACUCAAUCUCAGCAUUCAUUAGCAAUUGCAUCUGCCUAUGAUGCAUUGCAGUAACGUUUACAGGAUGUUAGUAACGUUUACAGGAUGUUAGAUGUUGAAGGUACAAAAGACUAGGACCCUGGCUGUCUGCAUGUGCCUAGGGUCUAGCUCAAUUUUUGUGUAUCCGCAUUAUUAUGUUCAACUUAUUGAAUCAGUCCCCACCACUUUACUAGAAUAAUUCUAAUCUUAUUUUCAUGGGAACCGUCUACCCCCAGCAUUUUUUUCAGUGCUCCUCAAUUUUAGUAUAUAGUAGAUGAUCGGUUAGAAAAGUUUAAAAUUAGAUAAAUAAUUUAAAUAUAAAUAACUAGUUUUUUAAAUUAUAAAAACUAAUUCAUGUAUAAAAUCAAUUAAGAAGAAACUUUGGUGGAAUAAAAGUAAUAAAAUGCUCAUGAGGAGAGUAUGAAAAAAUCAUAAUGCCACUAGGGAAGUUUAAAGAAUCAAUAUUUGAUAUGUUUUGAUAAAUAGGUGUUAUGCUAAUGUUUUAUUAUUCUAAACUCGUAUUUUUUUUUCUUAAUUUCUAUAUAAUAAAUUUAAAUCUUAUAUGAGUUAAUUAUUAGUUAAACUAGGUUGCAUGAUUUUUAAUAUAAUACCAAUGCGAUGACAAUGAAAAAGGUUAGGUCAUAUGACAUAUAGAUGUGGAAAAGGUAUAAACCAAAGUAUAUUGCAUGUGAGUGAUUGGCAAUGCAUCUUAAAUUUUUGGUAUUGAAAAUUUUUACAAAGCACUCAAGAUCUAGUAAACAAAAUUGAAAUAAAAAAAACUCAUGGUUUGAUGAGCAAGUAUACUGAAAGAGCAGUUAUGUUUAUCCAUAAUGAAAAUGUUUAGUAAGAGUUCAUAAUGAUAUAUUUUAUUUUUUUUCUUGAAGUUUUAAUUACAUUUCUAUCGGUGAGAGUUUUAACAAAUUAUUUAAUUUGCUGGAACAAAAGCUUGGUCAAGAACGGACUCUAAUGCAUUAUAUGAGAAAAUCAUAUCAUGAAGGGGGAUAUAGGGAAAAUGGAGAAAACAUUACCAAUAAAAAAGUGGAUAUAUUCAUUGUAAGGGUUUUGAUAGUUAUAAUUGAAUUAAGAUUAUUUAUUCAUCUCAAUAAUAUGAAAUAUAAAUGAAUUUUGAAACUUGAUUUUUUUUGUUUCAUAUGAGAGGUGUAAUGCCAACAUGGAGAAGGAAUUUGAAAAGGAUAUUUUAACCCAUCCUCCUCACAAUCUCAAAUGUAGUUGGAGGCUACUGCAAGUGAUGGACCCAAUAAUCGAGGUGUCCCCUAUGAAUACAAAAUCAACUUAUUACAAUUAUUGUUUUCUAUAUAAUAAUUUUCUUAAUGAUACAUUUCACAUCAUGAAUUAAAUAUUUCUCCUCUCGAUUCCUAUAUGAAAGAAAACUUUCUUUCUCAUCAUUUCCAUUUUUAGCUGAAACAGCCUUAUAGUAAUCCAAGGUGUGUGUAUUUGUUUUUCUUUUAUUUUUCGUUGUCUUAAACCCUCAUUUUUUUUUGUUUCUUUGUAUAAGUUCAAGAACACAAUCGAACACAAUUAUAUACACAUUUCAACCAUUAAGCCAAACAUAUUAUUAAUUACAUUCAUGAUUUUUCUUUAAUUAUUUUGCAAAUUUCAUCACUUAUCCAUACAUUAAAAUCCUUUAACAACACAAUUAAACAAAACUUCCACAACAUUAAAAUUACCAAAACUCAUCCUUCUUUUCCCCAAUGUUGGCCAAAACAUAUAGAAAAAGAAACAUGAUCCCUUUUCAAAUUUUCUUUUAAUUUCACAUUACACUUUAGUCAUUCAUAAUCAACAACACUUUUUAAAAUUAAAAAUAGCAUUCCAAUCAUUUUAAUCACACAACUAUUACUAGGGGUGUUCAAAAAAACCGAUUAAUCGAGAAAACCAAAAAAACCGAUGAAAAAUUAACGGAGAAAACCGAACCGAAAUGGAAAAUCGAUUUUUAAAACCAUAAAAUCUUGCCGGUUCGGUUUGGUUUCGGUUUUAAAACAGAAACCGGUGAACCAAACCGAACCAACCAUAAAAUAAAAGAGCUAUAAAUACUACAAUCUACAGUUAACCUAACCCUAAUAACAUAACACGAAAAGUCGUCGCCUAGACCAUAGACUAUUUUUUGCUUUCUUCCUUUCCCUUUCAAUUUUCAUCCACUAUACCCCUUGCAUCUGUCUCUUCUCUAGCCGAACAAAAACCCACAUCUCCAUCUUCUUGGCUUCUCUCUUCACUUCUCCUUGGCUUCUCUCUUCACUUCUGAACAAAAAUCCAGACAAAACGGAACCCACAAUAGCCAAAAGCUACUUCUGUACAAGCUGGUUGGUUUCCUUCCAUUACUAAUGUUUUGAAUCAGUCACAAGGGAGAAAGAAGAACGAAGAGAUUAUUGCCAAGGUCACAAACUAGAGCACCAGGGAACAACACCCUUCUCUGAAGAGCCCAUAACAUACUCCUUUGAAGAGCUUUUUGGGUGAGGCAAGCAUGGAAACCAAAUCCAAGCCACUAAAUGCUAAGGAAAUCCUAGUUGAAAAGAAUGGCCUCGUAGCUAAAGAUAACGAUGUUUUGCCUAAAAAAAUUUAAAAAUCUCAUUAAUUUGAUGAUUAGGUUUCCCGGUUUUAAAGCAAAAAACUGAAUUUAACCAAACUGAACCGGUUCGAUUUGAACCGCAAUUCAGUUUGGUUCGGUUUGAAUUUUCAAAAAUUUAAGUUACUCGGUUCAGAUGGUUUUUGUGGUUUAAACCGAACCGAAUCGAACCAUGAACAGGUCUAACUAUUACCAUUACAUAACAUAUAUAUUCAUACUAGAUUUUAUCAAUGAUCUAUCAAAUUUUUAUAAUCUUCUUUAGGGCUAUUUUUCCUUAUAGUCUUAAUUAAUACUUCUAUGGAAUAAAUUAUUAAACCAACAUUAAAUCACAUCUUGUAUUACCAUGAUUCUAUCAAGAUGCAAUUUACAUCAUUAAUUUCAAUCAAAGAGAUUUCUCAUUUUCUUCUUACUUUAGGCCGGCCAUCCAACACUUGGGACCAUAAAUUAUUCAAUGUUUUUCUAUAUUUUCACAUCUAUUACAACCCAUAAUACCUUAAUUAAGUUAAUUCCACAUACAAUUGCAUUUCCCUUAAUUCUUCCCCAAGAACCUUAAUCCAUAUUUCCCCCAACAUGCUCUAAAAUAAUUAAAUUAUACUCUAACAUGUAUAUUUAAGUUUCAAGUACCUUAGCAAUCAAUAAUUUGAACUUUGAAAUGCAACCAGUCAAAAUUUUUUCUUUUCUUAUUUCUUCUUCCUCGGCUUUCUCUCAUUAAGUCCACUUUUCCUUUUUUCUAUCCCUCUUAAUUUGAAGCUUAGAUGUUUUUCUUUUUCAUAAACUAACUUUACUACUCUUAAACCUUAAAUCUUCUCACAAUUUAAAGGAAAAACAAAAAGAUUUGAAGAAUUUCUCCUCCCUCUAUCUACUAGCUGGUCGCCGGCCUCCCUUACAAUUAAAGAUGGAGGUUGACCUUUUUAUAUUUAUGUUUUCCCCCCUCAAAUCUCUCAUUUCUCUUUUGGUUAUUUCAUUAAUUUUCAAAAAUUUAAAUAUUACAAUUUAAUUUCUAUUAAUUCACAAAGUUAACCUUCCUAUUCUUUACUUUUCUUUCAUAAUCUAUCAUCAUGAAACAUUUCCAUUGUUAUUGUUAUUGUUAUUAUUUCCCGGGGCUUACAAGUAAAGCUUUGCUAUAAGGUUUAGAAGCUAAUGUGCAAGAUUUAUAUUAGUUUCCUACUUGAUUUAGGAUUUGUUUUCUAUUUUAUUUAGAAUUUUAUUAUUAUUUUUCUAGCAUUAUUUAUGACCUUUUUUAUCUAUCAUAAAUGAGGUUAUUUAGCUUGUAUUUAGGUUUUUCUCUUAUAAAUUAUGAUUUUAGAGUAAUAUUUAUGUGUAUGAGGCAAACUCAUACUUUUCAGUUCUUAAAAGAACUGAAAUUGACUUAUCGAAGAACAAUUAUCUAGUGAUGUCUUCCUUAUAUGUCUCAUUUGCAAUUUUCUAAUCGUUAGGUGAGGAUUUGAAUUCUAAUAAUGUUGGUUCAUCGAUUCAAGAUAAUCAUUGUGCCAUGCUUUCUAGCUCAAAUCUGAUUUUUAGUUUCCCAAAUUUCUUUGUGAGUUUUUACAUCUUAUAUCAACAGGGUUUGCAUCAGUGAUGGCCUGAAUUUCAACUUGGUAGAAAACAUUUAAGAGUCUUUAAAAUUGUACGUAAUUUCAAAGACUAGAGGUGGCAACUAUUUGGGGGGGGAGGGAUAAAAGAAAACUUAAUAGCUUGGCAAUUUGUUUUUUUGAUUAAUGUAGGUGUUCGGGUCAGCUUGCGCGUACCUUUACUAAUCCCACGAGCCUUGAAGUUAAUGACUAUGUAAGUCUUCAGUGGUCCCGAGGUUUGUGAGAUUUGAACUGGUGAUCUCUAGAGAGCAAACUCAGGAUCUGACCAGUUGAGUUACACCUCUCAAAAUUGAAUAGCUUGACAAUUGAUAUUUGAUCAACUAGUAGCUUUAAGAUUUAUGGGGUUCGAACUAGUGAUUUUUAAAAAACAAAUUCAGGAUUUAAUCAAUUAAGUUACACCUCCAAAAUUAAAUAGCUUACUAUUGAUAUUUGAUUUAUUUAUGAGCUGCAUAGUCUCCAUAAUAAAACAAAUGUCUUUUAUGAUUCCUCCGAGAGUAUACAACAAGCUUAUCUUAAAAUCAUGUGGUCUAGAUGAUCCAAGGGUGUAUAAAUACUUGAAGAUUAUCAAGUACUAGAUAUAAAGAAAUAGAUCCAUACUUAGAUAUAUAUAUAACUUUUCAAAAUCACCCUUACCAGUAUUCAUUGCUAUGUUUUUUUUAUUUUACUAAAUUAAAUAUCAAAAAAUUCUAAAAGAAAAAUUUAAACUAGAUAUUUCAGCUUAUUAAAUAACAUUAAAAAGCCCAAGUUCAUCUGAAAUUUUCACAACUUUAAAUAUAUAAUAAUAAUAAUAAUAAUUAAUUGAAAAUAAAUAAUAAAAAUUAAAAUUAAAAAAUUACGAGAAUUAAAAGUUAAAAAUAACUAAUGUGGCAAAAAAUGUUUCUAUACAAGUAUUUUUAAUAAAAAAUAUAUUAAAAUAAUAUUUUAUUAGUAUUUUUUACAUCAACAAUAUUAUAUUUUUAAGAGGAUAUUUAAAAGUGUGGUUGAGAUUGUUUUUUAAAAUAUUUUUUAUUUAAAAAUGUAUAAAAAUAAUAUAUUUUUUUAUUUUAAAAAAAUUAAUUUUAACAUUAAUUCAUUAAAAUAUUCUGAAAAUAUAAAAAAAAUAUUAAUUUAAAAUAAAAAUUUUAACUUUUUUUAAAUAUACUCUUAAAACAUAACAACAACUAAACGGGCCAGCUCUUUCUGAAGCAGUGAUUUGACGGGCAAUUAAAACAUUAGGGUUUCUUCGGUGCAAGUUCAAGAUUCGCUCUGCGAAUCGACCUCCUUGUAGAUUCUCUUGACGAAGAGAAAGAGUUAAACUUUCUUGCAUCCCUCAAUUCCCAUGUUUUAUUUCCUCUACAAAUCCCUUCUCCAACAUGGGAGACACGCUGCCACACUUUCACCCACCCACAAGCUCUUUUCAUUUCAACACUCACCUUCGAUUAUUACUCUUAGAUUCUUCAUCUCAACCCUCGAAAGCCCAAAUAAACAGUCAUUUGCAGCCUCUUAUCUCAUAAACAAAUUUGUGUUCUCUCCUGAAUCUGCUCUUUCAGCUUCUAAACAUCUCAGUUUUAAAACCCCAGAUAACCCUGACUCAGUGAUUCGCAUGUUCCAGCACUAUGGUCUCUCUCAAGACCAAAUCUUUAAACUCGUUAAAAAAUACCCACGAGUGCUUUCGUGCAAACCUGAGAAAACCCUUUUGCCGAAACUCAAGUUUUUUCACUCUAAAGGCAUGUCAGGCAAUGACAUUGCCCACAUUUUAUGUGCACAUCCUUGUAUUUUGAAUCGAAGCUUGGAAAACCAAAUAAUUCUUAAUUUCAACUUCCUUGGCAAUUUGCUUCAAUCUAAUGAAAAGACAAUUGCUGCUGUUAAAAGAUACUCGCCUAUUCUCUAUCAUAAAAUCGAUACAUAUUUGAAACCUUGUAUCGACAUUUUGGAAGAGUAUGGAGUCCCCAAAAGGCAUAUUGCUACAUUGGUUCACCGUUCUCCUAGGUCUGUCAUGAUGUCUCCGAAUCAUUUGAGAAGCAUCGCUGAGACGGUGAGAGAAAUGGGAUGUGAUCCUCUUAAGCCGCAUUUUGCUACGGCAGUGAUGGUGAUGGGUCUAUUGAGCAAAUCUGGGUGGGAAAGGAGGCUGGGUGUUUAUAAGAGUUGGGGUUGGUCCGAGGAAGACGUUCUUGCUGCUUUCAUAAAGGAGCCUUGGUGCAUGAUGACAUCGGAUGAUAAGAUUAUGGCAGUGAUGGAUUUUUUGGUUAAUAACAUGGAUUGUGAGCCUUCAUUUAUUGUGAAAAACCCCUAUCUUUUGAAGCCAGGCUUGAAGACAACAUUUAUACCAAGAGCUUCAGUUGCUCAGUUUUUGUUAUCGAAACAGUUGAUUAAAAGGAAGCCUAACUUGGUUACUCUGUUUUUGUGUUCUGAGAAGUUGUUCCUUGAGAAGUUCGUGAAUUGUUUUGAUGAAGCCCCACAGCUAUUGAAGCUGUAUAACAAAAGAAAUCAAAUCUUUCAAAAAUGAGAGGUAACGUAAUAGUUGAAAAUUGUUAAGAUCAUUGGUCCAUUUUGGUAUUCCUUCCUGUUGUUGUACUUGAUUUUAUUAGAUGCUUUCUUCCAAGCUGUACUCUGAUGCAUGGAAUGCAAUUUAAAUUUCCUUGUUAUCUGCAAUUUUGGCUUCUCUCUUCUUUAUUUUCUUGAUCGGAGGUCAAACAUUGCUUUGUUGUUUUGUAUGCAAUCUACUACUUUGUUUCACAUAGUUUGCACAUGUGAUUUCUGUUUGCCUGUCACAAAGCAAAAGGCAGCUAUUUCUAUUAUCUGGUGUUUUCUUAAGCCGGCAUAUGGGUCCAUUUAAUGAUGAGGUCAUCUUCCUCUUCCACUUAGAAUGCUGAAGUUAUGUUGGAACAGCGAAAUUUGAUGGUUGGAAGGGACAACCGAGUCACUUUACAUUGAAGUUUUAUUUAAUAGGCUUGAAUGAUUGUAUGAUAGAUUCCAUAUGCUAGAGAUAGACCUAGGCUUCUGAAUCAAGAAUAGUGCAGGUUUGUUAAAUAUUCUGAUAUGGAAACACCUUACAACAUUUCAGUCGGUGGUUGAAUUCAUUGGUCCAUAUCUAAAACUCAACCUCACUGUUUUUAUUCCUUUCUUUUCAAAUAUAUCACCUAGUUUCAAAAUUUUAACUGGUUGUUACUGAAUUUAACAUGUUUGAAAAAUGAGACCUGGCAACUAUUUUCACAUUAAAAGCAUUAUAGCAAUUUCAAUAUGUACCUGCUGCAGUCUUCCUUUUGGAUGUUUAAAGUAUAGAUAAAUUGUCGUUGGCUGUUAUUGUGUGCACAGGCAGAUGGACAUGCGCAUUUUUGUAUUUCCAUCCUAUCAAUUUGCACCAGUCUCUACCACUUAAAUACUUGGAAUUUGUUCUGUUUUUCUUUUUGAUGGAAUGAGAAUCAGAUAUUCAGCUUUUCUCCAAAUUCGUGAAGAAAGAAAAGGGUGAGAGUUUUCACCGCUACAACCAUCUAGUCAUAGUUCUAUUUAUGAUAUGGCUGUAAUGAAAUUUUCCCUUUUUUUUUUCUUUCCAAAGAAUGUUUCUGUUUGGUUGAAUAUUGUUUGAAGGAGCAAGCAUAUAGAAAUUUAAUCUUAAUUUUUAAUGCCUCUUGUGCUCGUUGACUGUAUUCUUGCAGUAACCCAUGCUGAGGUUUCUUCGUCAUCAAUGGCUUGGCUUCAAGUUGAAACGUUGUAAAAGAAAAUCUAACUUGACGAGAUUUUCUAGCAUGUGUGCUUUUGAUGGUGAAUUCAAUUGUUAUAGCUGUUGAGCUAAGAGGUGAGACUUGUACCUAGGGCUUCGUUAGUACCAUUUCUGUUACCAAGUAGUUUGAUUGACGAGCUUCCCUAAUUGGUUGUUCUGUUUAAAUAUUUUUAGAAGCUCCUUGAGAAGUUUGUAAUUGUUUUGAUGAAGCUCGUCAGCUAUUCAAGCUAUAUAGAGAAAAAUUAGUCUUUCAAAUUGACAUGGAAAUCUAAUAGUUGAAAACUUUUCAGUUUACGACUCCAUGAUGGUUUAACUUCUUGUUGUGUUACUCCAUUUUGUUGGAUACAAGAACAUACCAUGAUUCUGUAAUGCAGCUCCAAGGGCAAAUCAAUCUAAAUUUCUGCGUUAUCUGCCACCUUUUGGCUUCUAUCACCGUCAUUUCUCUAUUGAAGCUUGAGCUCGAUACUGCUGUGCUUGCUUGCUUGUUUGGUAUUCAACUCUACUACUUUGUUUCAUUUUGUUUCUGUUUUAAGUUUUAUUUUGUUGGCCCCACCGCAAAAAGAAGUGGUUUCCACUCUGGUAUUUUCCGGAGAAGGUUAAAUGAUGAUAUCAGCUUCCUUUUCUACUAAGAAUGCUGAAGUUAUGUUACAAUAUUUGAACUUGGAAGGUAGGGUCAAUGUAUGUUGAAAGUUGAUUAACUAGGCAUGAAUCAUUGCAUGAUUGGAAUUGUAUACCUUAUGCUGGAACCAAGAAGUCCGAAACUAGCAUAGCGCAGACAUAGGUUCAACCCCAUGAAAUGGAAGCACCUAAUAACAUUGACCUCAGUUGAAUUCGUCGGUUAAUAUAAAAAACGUGAUCUCACUGUUGUGUUUUUCCUUGGAUCACCUAGUCUGAGAAUUGCUAUUUGUUCCUGCCUUUUUAACUUUAAUGAACAUGAUGAGCUCAGCCAGCCAAUAGUUCUAUCCUGCUCUGUUGAGGAUUGAGGAUACAAGAUUUUGAUCCCAAUUUUAGCAUCCUCAUGCUCUCAUUGAUUGUGCUGUUUGUUGGCAACAAAGCUUUAGAGAGUUUUGCUCAUCAUUGAUAGCUACACUUUAGAGUGUAAAGAAAGAAUUAACCAAUAUGAAUCUUUUCUCGUAUGUGUGCUUGGAUAUGGAUGGUGAAUUGAACAGGUAUGUGUGCUGAAUAACACCUCCAUAUUUACGUUGUCUCAAGUAAAAAUCUUCAUUUUAUCAUAGGAGAAGCUACUCAGAGCUUGGGAUUUAUGAUUGUACAGGUUUGUUUUUGCUUUUCAAAAAUAUUUUUAUUUGAAUCUUGGCUUUUCGAAUCUUGGCUUGGAAUAUGGAUGGUGAAUUGAAGAGGUAUGUGUGCUGAAUAACACCUCCAUAUUUACGUUGUCUCAAGUAAAAAUCUUCAUUUUAUCAUUGGAGAAGCAACUCAGAGCUUGGGAUUUAUGACUAUAGGACAUGUUUGUUUUUGUGCAAAAAAAAAUUGAAUUUUUUUUAUUAUGUUUUUUUUAAUUAAUAUUUUUUUAGUGUUUUUAAAUUAUUUUAAUGUGUUUAAAAAAUAUUAUUUUAAUAUAUUUUUAUAUAAAAAACAUUUUAAAAAAUAAUUAUAAUCAGCUCACUUAUAUUAUUCUAUUACUGCUACAAAGGGAUCCAUGGAUUCCAUCUAUGCUACCUUUGUGCUCGUAGGGAUACAUAUAGGCUCCAUUUAAUUUGGUAUUUUUGCAGCAGAUUAAAAUAUACUUUUUAAAUAAAUCAAAAUAAAAAUUUAUUAAAAAAACACUAUUACAUUUCAGAGUUAACUGUGAGAUGGUGAACAUUAGGAGGUAUAGACAAUAAACUAAUAUAAUAUUAUCUAAUUUUAUUUUUUGGUCCAAAUAUCAUAUUCUCUCUUUCCCUUUAUGCCAAAAAUCAUUUGAAAGAGUUAAAUUUUUCAAUAUAACUAUUUUAAUACUGUAACUUAGCCUUUUUUCUUAUGGGGCACUCCAAUGAAAAUUAAUAUUUUAACAAAUCUUUUUGUAUGAGAAAAGAAAAAAAAAAUAGUUUAAAGUGAAAAAAACAGUUAAAAUUUCUCUUUUAUUUUAUGACUUUUUCUCCAAAAACAUAUAAGAGAAAAAUGAUUUUGGUUUUUUAUAUUUUUAUUUAGAAAUAUAUUAAAAUAAUAUCAACGCAUCAAAAUAAUUUAAAAACACCAAAAAAUAUUAAUUUAAAGCAAAUAAAAAAAUAAAAAAUUUUUAAAUUUUUUUAAAAACGUAAAAAUAUACUCUAAUAAUUGCGGCAGCUCCACCGUAAAACUAUCCGGCAUUGGCUGUAUAUGUGAAUAAAAGGACCAAAAUACAACAAUAGGUAAAAGGAAUGGACCAAAAACCAGAAAAACUAAAAAUUAGUCAUUACGGUAUUAUAUAGAAAAACUGUUCACAUUUCACAGCUUUUGUGAAGAAAAAGAUAGGGAAGAAAUGCACAUCAACACCAAGAAAAAUCCAAAAUUCCGUCUACACUACACAUAAAUACAAAUCUCUCUCUCUCUCUCUCUCCCCCUUAUCUCCUCUUUGGCUUGCUCCUCUGCUAGGGUUUUUCCUUUUUCCUUUAAUGUAUCCACUCUAUUUUUUUAAUAAACAAAGCAGUGGUAGGUAAAGAUUAGUACUGGUAGAGAAGAGAGGGAGAGGGUGAGAUGGCGUCGAAUCCUGCAAAUCUAUGGGUGUUGUUAGGACUAGGACUAGCUGGUAUUUUUUUAUUCACUAAAAAGUUUAAGAAAGUUCUCAGAGAAGAUUUUGGCGCUUUUAUCCACAAGCUUCAGUUGCUUCCUCCGCCGCAGCCUGCUCCUCCUAAAGCUCCUCAUCCUCUCACCGGCCUCACCUUCGCCGUCUCCGACUUGUAUGUCCCUUCACUUCCUUUCAUUAAUUAUUUUUGUUUGAAUCAGUUAUUGGAGAGUAACUGAAAUAAACUUUAUUUGGCGAUUAGUCUUGAGUUCAAUAUUCUUUUUAGGGUUUUAACUUUGUGGUUUUUAAUUUUUCAAUUUACAUUUUUUUUCUGGGUGAAUGGCUAAUAUAUUGGGAUUGUCAGAUUUGAUAUUGAAGGAUAUGUGACUGGAUUUGGUCAUCCAGACUGGGCAAAGACACACGAGGCGGCUUCUCGAACAUCUGUUGUCGUUUCGACUCUUGUUGAAGGAGGUGCUACUUGUGUCGGUAAAACUGUUAUUGAUGAGCUUGCUUAUAGGUGUGUUAUUGUUCGUUUCAAAUUUCUACAGAUUGCAAACUUAGGGCAUACUAUGAGUUUAUGCUUUCUUUUGUAUGAUGAUGAUGAUGAUGAUGUUUGCUUUGCGUGCUGUUUGUUUUCAGUAUCACUGGAGAAAACAAGCAUUAUGGUACACCUACCAAUCCUGUUGAGCCUGCACGAGUACCAGGUGGAUCCAGUAGUGGCGCUGCUGUGGCUGUAGCUGCUAAUCUGGUUGACUUCUCUUUGGGUGAGCUUCUUAUUAUCUUUCCUGCGACUUCUUUUCUGUUUAGAUCACCAGGCAAUCUUCGUUGAUCAUGGGGUUGAGUUCAGAAACUUUUGAAUUGCUUUCAUGCAAAUGUUUUAUGUGAAACCUUUGUAUAUGCUUGGGUUGCUCUCCUUUUAUUUCCAAACUAUCAUUAGUGUGAAUGUCCUUUGGACCGCAAGGCAAUCACAAUUGUCAUAAAUUUGAAAUCCCAAACAUUGUCUUAUGAGCAGGUUGCGUGAUUGUAUAUCAAACAAUCUUGGUUUUCAUUCAUUUGAUUUUGGUCACUGCUGUUGUUAUGAUUAAGUUGGGUCAUUGAUGAAUACUGGUUAGCAUGAAGCUCUCUAACAUAUUUUAACAGUUUGUAAAUUGGUUUGUUCUUUUGUUGUUUUUUAUUUUUCUUUUCUUAACUUUCCAUAAAGUUUUAUUUUUCUAUUUGCGGCAUAAAACUUUCUUAUAUCAGUCACUGAGACAAAUCUUAUUAAUUGAAUAUUUCGUAAUGGAGUUAUUUUUUUUAUAUAUACUUAUAUAAAGUACAUUUUAAAUUUGCAGUGAUUAUAAUUUAAUUCUUACAGAAACCAAAUAUAUUUUACUGUGAUUUAAUUGAAGAUGAUUUACAUGUAGCGCAAGUUAUAUGGUUCCUCAAAUAGAAAUGGAAUAUGAUAUUAAACUAUUCUAUAAAUGGAAUGCAUGAUUUGCAUGAUACCUUUUUUGGGAAAAUUUUAUAGUGCACAAAGAGUUACUAGUGAUAUCCUAUUAGUUACUAUCCAGGGCCUACUUUUUAGAAAGAGACAAACACAAAUAGGAAAGAGAAAAAAUCCAUUACCCACCAAAAGUCAUAAGAAUAUCUUUACCUAGGAUUUCUCUCUCCUUACUUGUAUCUAUCUAUUUCUUGAAAAUGGACUCCAGGAAGUAACUAAUAGGAUGCCACUAGUUUCUUCCCGAGCACCAUAAAAUUUCGACUUUGUUUGACGGUAUUUAUUCAUGUAAUAUAGGAUACUGUUGUUCAGGUCAUUCUGCUGUUAAAUUUCUUUAGAUUAUGCAAGCUUGUUGUGAACUUUUGGCAUUUCCAGACCACUCCUUAAUAAAAUUUUAGCUUUCUGGACAUUAAUUUAACCUCUAUAAAACACAUGCAAAUUUUGGAAUGUGCAUUUGAUACAGAUAUUUUUAUGGCAGGUGUUGAUACUGUUGGUGGUGUGAGAGUACCUGCUGGAUUUUGUGGUAUCAUAGGAUUUCGACCCUCAUAUGGAGCUAUUUCAAAGAUAGGAGUUUUACCUGUUUCAGUCAGUCUUGACACUGUUGGUAUGUAAGGGUCACAUUUUGGAAAUUAUCUUGUUUAUGAUUCUCUUAUUGAUUUUGGUACACGUCAAGUAAAGGAAAUAAUGUUGUUGACGACCUCCAUUUUUCUGUAUUGCAAUUGUUGAAUGUCCAUUGUUGGUCUCUAUUUCAAAUUGAUAUAGGUUUUUCUGAUUGAGCAUUUUUCUCUCAUAUUACUUUCAAGUAGAAAUAUGAUUGAUGUGUGUGUGUUUCAACUUGCUCCACAUGUUUUUUAACUAAAAAAAUAUAGUUGGAACACAAUAUGAUUUAGCUCUAUUUUGCACAGAUCUUAGUUUUACCUUUUCAAGAAAAGAACCAAUCAUGCAAAUGUUUAAGCUAGGAUUGAUCAUAUAAUUACUUAUUGUGUAAUUUUACUUGGUGAUGACUGAUAUCAAUUCUCUUGAAUGCGAACUCUGAAGUUUAGUCUUUUCGUUGCACAUUUAUUUAACAUGCUAAAGCUCUAAACUUUGUAGUGCCCUGUACUACUGACCAGUUAUGACAUUUCAUUGUUUGUUGCUUGAGGCAAGCAAACUUCAACUUAAUCCAAGUUUUUGGAACGUCCUAAGAGCUGGUUUUGUUGGCUUAAUAAGCUCCUUGAACUAGAUCAAAAUAAAAAUAAAAAUCUAUCAAAACCUUGCUCUGAAGUUGAAUUUGCUUCUUUAUUUUUCACACCACUUUAUAUGUAAUUUAUUUUGCUUUGAGCAUGUGUGUAACAUCAUCUUUGAAUUAGAGGUCAUUUUAUUCUCUUGUCUAGCCAUUGAUUGACUAUUACUUUGUAUUGAUGAGAUUCCUUUUGAUGCUCUCUGGUUGCCUCAUCAAUACUAAAUUUUGAUCAACUUCUGAAACAACUCCUGCAGGUUGGUUUGCUAAGGAUCCUAAUAUUCUGCGACGUGUUGGACAUGUUCUUCUUCAAUCUGCUUUUGGAGGUCAACGUAGUCCUAGGCAAAUUAUAAUGGCAGAUGAUUGUUUUCAAUUACUAAAGAUUCCUGUUGAUAGAAUUGCCCAGGUGGUGGUUAAGUCAACUGAAAAGCAUUUCGGAAGUAUGUCAUGAUCUUCUGAACUAGAGUUGUAAAUUUUUUCCUUUGUUAUAUUUCACAAAUAUUUGCUCUUCUCUAGUGGAGUUUGUUUCUGAAUUAUACCUCGACACACUUCUGCAGGACAAUUAUUGAAGCAUGAAAUUCUUGAUGUGUAUCUGAAUUCUAAAGUUCCAAGCCUGAAAGAGUUCCACAACAAAAAAACAAAUGGUGAAGUUAAAACUUCUUCAAUAAGAUUGCUUGCGAAUGUCAUGCAGCUUCUUCAUAGGUAAGUCUUUCAGAUAAUCAAGUAUGAAUAUAUGACUGAUUUUUUUGUGGAAAAGCUGAGAAUGGGAUAUACAGUUGUAGUCAAAAUUUCCUUUGAAGGCACGAUGACAGUUUAUCCACUGCUUGUAAUUGUACCACCAUAGAACUUUGUUCUUUUUUCCACUUUUUGUGAUAUGAUUGGAAAACCAAUAUCUAAAUUAGUUUUUGAUUAGCUUUCAUCUGUUUUUUUGGUCGCUUGGGAUGGAGGUAUCAUUAUCGAUCAUAUUUAGGCAUAUGGAGGUGGUUCGAUAUAGAUCAUUUAUGUGUACAGUCCAUGCGAGAAAUUUAUAGUGUUCAAACAUCAAUGUCAGUUUUGAAACUUUAACCUUUUUCUGACAGUCAUCUCCAAAGACAUAAAUCAAUAUGUUCAUAUUGGGGUUUGUAGUUAAUGAGAAAUUUUAUCAAUAAAAAAAGAAAAUCUGAGAGAGAGAGAUUAUCAGAUGAUUGGGCUAGAUCUCUCAACUUCUUGUGUAGGAAAAAAAUGGGAUUUCAACCAGCAGUUGCUUAUGGCUUAUAAAAUAUAUUUAUAGUUUCUAAUCAGGUGUAGUAGUUAGAAACUGUUUCUUACCUUCAAAUUAUGACCAAUACACUGAAUAUACUGUUAUUAGAAGUCUCAUGAUCUGUUAAAGUUACAACGGACAAACCAAAUAAUUAUUUCCUUUGCAUUUUGGACUAGACCUGGGUGCUCUUUGACUUAAUUAUAUGUGUUAUUUAACUUGUGGAGGAGGAUAGAAUUCUGUGAUGUUCACUCUCUUGAUGAGCAUGAGUAUGGUGUAUGACGUGAAAUUUGGAUGCUUCUUCACUUUGUUGUACCUUUUAUUUUGAUAUUCUCUAGACAAUAUGAAUCUUGUCUCUAUCUUGUAAUAGAUAUGAGUUCAGAAGCAAUCACGAGGAAUGGAUUAACACAGUAAAGCCAAUUCUUGAGCCCAAUUUGUCAGCUCAGAUGAAUGAAAUAAUGGAGCUGUCAGAUGCAGAGAUUGAACUCUGCAAGUCUAUUAGAGAAGAAAUGCGUUCGGCUAUCAACUCUCUAUUGAAGGUAUUUUUUUUUUCUUAAAUGAAGACCUUUGAAUUUGAAUAUCACAAGUCAUCAAUAGUUUAUAUAAACAAAAAUAUCAUUUGUUGAAAACUAAAAGAGAUGCUUUGUUAAUUAAAAGCUGACAUUGGCUUAAUGUCUAUCUUAUAUACUGGAAUUGAUUUUUCUUCGCUUAAGCUUUGAUCAACUCCUAAUGGAUGCAUUAAUGAAUACAGCUAAAAGAAAAGAGUGGUUGUUUAGAUUUGUAAUACAAUGCCCAGCUUUUGUCUUAUGUUUUCCGCCCAAAUAAAGAAAAAUGAGUCUUGGGAAAAAAGAACAGAUUUGAAACAAUUAAAAAAACAAUAAUAAUUGGUUGAACAGCAUGUAUGAGAUCAUUAUUUUUAUUUCAAUUCAUCAUCCUUUAAUGCUCUCCUUUACUCUGUUUUUAUAUACUAGGUUGACGAGAGGAUUGUUACAGUGCAUACAGUCCCUUAUAUCUAACUUUGGCUUUUAUUUUUUUCUCAUUACACAUCAAUGUUAGUUCUGAAAUGCAAGGAUCUUGUAUCCUUCAAUUCUAUGACCGGGCUUUAGGUGUAUAUGGUUAUGCCCAUUUUAGUUAGUUGCUGGAGUCAUUAUAUCCUUGUCCCAGUUUAUUUUUUAUUUUUAUUUUUUAACUGUAUAACCUUCUGUCUUUCAGUGGGUUUCUUCUUCUAGAACUUCAUUAACUUUUUUUCAUUUUAUGAAUAUGUAGGAGCACUUGGAAAAGAAAACACAUUGCACUUCCAUUUUAAUUUGUGUAAUUGGUUUGAGUUAGGGUCUUGGAACUUGAAUUAACAUUUCUGUUUGUUUUUCCAAAUAGUGCAACCUUCUUGAUUAUCUAAUUUUGAUUUGUUUAUUCAUAAUGGUUAUAUUGAUUAUGCCUCUUAAACACCUUUAUUUUUUGUUCUUUUGGUUUCUGUGGCUUUCCAGGAUGAUGGGAUUCUGGUGGUCCCUACAACUGCUUAUCUUCCUCCAAAACUUGGCGGGAAGGAGAUUUUAUCAGAAGAAUAUCAGAGCUCUUCAUUUGGUCUUUUGAGUAUUGCUAGCCUAUCAGGUUGCUGUCAGGUGAAUCUCUCUCUCUCUCUCUCUCUCUCUCUCUCUCUCUCUCACACACACACACACACACACACACACACACACACACAGAGACAUGCAUGUGCAAAUGGCAAUAAGACGCUGCACUGAAUUCCUGUUUCCUCUUAUAACAGCAAAGUUUUGUUAUUUAACUUUAUUUAUUUGUUUUUUUAUAUGUUUCAGGUCACUGUACCAUUAGGAUAUUAUAACAAGUGUCCUGUCUCUGUGUCCUUGAUAGCCAGACAUGGCAGUGAUCGCUUUUUACUAGAUACAGUGCAGACCAUGUAUAAAACUUUACAAGAACAAGCUGAGACAUAUGUGAAUUCCAAAUCGAGUAACAAAGACAGUCGGGAAAAUUCUGCUGAGAUGGCUAAAGAAAAGGUAGAUUAUGCAUUCUUAAUGUGUCUUACAUGUCAAAACUGUAACAUGUCCAGUGACAGAUUUUGGAUUGAAUUUGAUUGCACUUGGCAUGUUGAUCUUGAUCAUUUAUUUGUUGACUUUAAUGCUUGCUUUAAAUCGAUUUCCAUAUGCACCUCAGAAGUUGACUGAGGGUCAAAAGUUAGAACUGAGCCUUGGAUUUAGCUGUACUAAUAGAUUCACUGUCGUAAUUAAAAUGUUGUUCACAGUGCACCUUUGCAUGACGAACUGUUCUAGAUAAUCAAAUGGAAUUUAAUCUUGGAUCCAGCGCCCAUCUUGUUUCAAUAUUAAGAGUGUGUGUGUGUGUAUAGUGAAUUUAACUUUUUUUCAUUUUCAGCUUGUGGUUCUCUCCCUCUCUUCAAAAGAGGAAAAGGAAGUCCACUGAAUUUUUCUGAAUUUAUUUGCUAAUUCUAUUUCAUGUUGUUGAUGAUACUGCUUAUUCAAUGGUUUACGUGAUGAAUUUGAAAAGUUUUAUGUUCUUUUCUUUUUAGAUAUCUCAGCCAGUUGGAUGUGCACUUGUAGUGGUGAUAGCAUGGCUACUACAAUUUUUUGUAAUCAUUAAACUGUUUAUAUCUUUCUGAGAAAAUUGGCUUCUUGGUUGUAGCUCUUUGCACCCUUUUUCAAUUGGUGUUUAAAAAAUUAAAUAAGUAAAUGAAAAAAUAUUUCAAGGAAGAUGCAUAAGAGAAGAUCACAGACACAGACCAGCAACACCUGAACAGAAGCUUGGUGAUGCUGCCAAUGAUCAAUGGAUGUUUUUUUUUUUUUAUAAAAUUUGAUCACCUUCUAUAAAUGUGCAUUUUCAUUUCAACUUAUCUUGGACUACAUGAGAGGGAAGACUUGUGAUUCUCAUAGUUUGGAAAAUAUGUUAGUAGUCAUCUUUAUGACUUAAUUCAGUGUCUGGUUUCAUGCAAAAGAUUAAGUAGUUUCAUAUUGUUUUACUACCCCAUAUAUACUUUACAAUUGUUCUGUGCUAUAUUAGUUAAUGGGUCUUUAUUGAGCCUGAACUUCUU
rnacentral:lncRNA from 1 species